AAUAUCUUUAAUCUGUCACAACGAUACACUAAAAGAAUUUCUAGGGCGGGCCAUUCCGAAGUAUGCAUUCCAGGGUACAAACAUCUAAGUUUUGGUAGAUCAUGGAGUAUCAAAGUGGUGAGCUGUGGAAAGACAAAAUAAGGGAUCACUUGAUCUGCUCUGUUUUCAGAAAUGAUCUCCUGUAAAUCCUCACAGGAGCGUAUUUCUAGGCGUUGGAGCUGCUUAAGGCUUCCGAUCAUAGACGCUGAAAAUAUGUAUUUUAAUUUGUGACAACCCCACACAAUCAAUCGUGUUAAACUUUGAAAGUGAGGAAACACUGCAGCUGGAAUUUGAUUGUAGUGCCAAAUCUUGUCGACAUUAAUUUCAGAUAUCUCCAAAGCCUCCAAGUUAGGCAACGCAACCUAAAAAGAUAAGAAUUUCUUGUUGAAAAUUUCUCUUUGAUUACAAAUUAAUGCAAGUCAGAAUCAAUUUCCAACUGACAGCUGAGUAUGCAUUCUAAUUCAUACUACUUGUUAAGAGCUCAAUUAGUGAGUGCGUGAGAUUAUUUUUUUCCCCAUUGUUUUCAUUUUCUUUCAAUUCUCUAAAUGAUUUAAUUAUUUUCCACGUUUGACAUAAGAGAACGCAUGAUAGAAUAAACUCUGUUAUAUAUAUAUAUGAAUAAAAUGUUAGCCUACGCACCUUCUCAUUGAAAAGCAAAGUUGAAAUAUCCAAAGUGAUUUCGCUGGAGCAAUACAUAGUCGUCGAUUCCUCUUGCGACACUUGUCUGUUCGGUGAUGCUGAAGGAGUCUCCACCUCACGGCAAAAACUUGUAACCUCUGGAAGAUUCCCCAGACUCAAAGAUCUUAAUUGAGCAAACUCUAUCUUCUCAAUUGCAUUAUCAACUUCUUUCCCAAUUGCAAAAAUCUCUUUCAUCUUGCUGCAAUUAAUAACUGCAAUUCUCUCAAGUCUUGGAAGGCAUUUUGUAGUAGAGAGCCAAAAGAUAUUACUCAACUUAUCACAAUUAUAUACUUCUAUGUUUUUGAGUUCGUUGAAAGACUCUACUUUGAGCCGAUCAAUACAUAUCCUCUCCAUGUUGAUCAAAUUGUGAAGGGCAAGUGACUCCAAAAGAGGAAAGGCAUCACAAGCGACCAUCUCCCUUGAAUCGACGAUACAAAAGAAGUCAGGAUUAUUUUGAACCCAGAGGACCUUCAAUUGUGAAAAGCCCUCCGUGUCCAAAUUGAAAAGAACAUUCUCGAUGCCUUGCAGCUUGUCCAACCGUAAGUAUUGAACGUUAUUGAUGCCUUGCAAUUUCAUGGAGCAAAUGUCCAUAAAAUCAAGCUUGAGCUUCAAUGCUCUUGAAAUCUUGCGAUUACUGUCGAUCAAAAAGUGCAGCUGACUUUUAAACCAAUGUUGUCCAAAAAGCAUGGGAUGCAUGAAUAACCCAUUUCCAAUAUGUAUUUUGAACCUUUCGAGCUUUCUGGCCAAAAAGCCUUCUGGUAACAUACUCUCAUUUUUAACAUCAAUUUCUAGAGUAGUUAGCCGAGGUAAAUGCAUCAAUUCGUCAAGGCUAGCAUUACUUCUUUUGCUGUUGGCUCUUUCAACCUCCCAUUCAAUGAAGCAAUUACCCAUAUACAAUUCUUCUAAUCGGAUUAAGCUUGAUAUGACAUUUGGGGCAAUAACUUUCAGACGGAAACAGUGUUAAAUCUAACAGCCUUAGCUUAGUCAGUUGACCCAGUGCUUUAGGCAACUCUACAAUAUCAGAUUGCAAAAAGCUAAGGAUUUCUAGAUUUUCCAACUUUCCAAUAAUGGCUAUGUCUAUGCCUCCGAAAAUGCUUUGAUUAAGACAAAGUGUCUGAAGAUUUACUAGAAGACCAAUUGAAGAUGGCAAUGACAAUAACCGCAUUCUAGUCAAAUCCAAAACCCGAAGCUUUUUCGUCCUUUUGAAGAAGUUCUCGGGAAUAUUAGGCACAGCAAAAGAGUUCUUGGGAGACAUGAAUAGAAGUUCAAGUUGUAGAGAUUCCGACCCUUCAGGAAUGUCAUUAACAAUACUAUCUUUAAAAGAAAUUGCAAAAUAUUUUUUAAUUCAUCUGCAUUUGGCCAUUUCCAAUCAUCCUCAUUUCUCACCACAAAUGCAUUCAUGUCACGAAAUGCAAUUGAAAUGGCAACAUCGCGAACAACAUCGUGCAUAGAAAUGUAUUUACUGCCACCAUCCUCAAGCAACAAACAAGAGUCUCUUAGUUGAUGGACCCAUGCAUGUAAUUUGUUAUGUGCAUCUUCUAGCUUAUGGACACUUUUAAAUACACCCAAGCCCAUGCUGUAUUUGAACAAAUCCAUAAUUGGUGCUGGCGUAAUAAGACUACACAGUAAAAAAGUUUUCUUGAGUUGCUCACCUCUUAAGUACUUGUAACUCAGCUCAAUUGUUGAGUAUGCCUCUGCUGGUACUCCUUCGUCGAAGCUUGCCUCUGAAGGCGUUUGGAGUUCUUGCAAGGCAUUCUUCCACACAGGCAGCUCUUUUUUUCUCAGUGCCUUUGCUACUGUGGUUAGGGCAAUAGGCAAACCUCCGCAUGCCUUGGCUACACUUGUUGCUGUAGAUUUUAACUCACGAUUUUCAACAUAAUCACCAGCCAUUAUCUUGAACAAUCUCCAGGCUUCUUGUUCAUUUAAAAUGCCAAUCGAGAAGUUUUUUUCAGAUCCCAUCCUUAACAGCACAUCAAGAUCUCUUGUUGUGAAUAAUAAUUUACAUCCUCUGUGCUCAACUCCAAAAGGAAUGCCAAUAGUCCCCAAAUCAAGAGGAUUCCAGAUGUUAUCGAGAAUCACAAGGAUCUUCUUCUCAUUCUUCAAUCUUUCAUAUAGUCUACUAGCUCUUCUAGACUCAGCUUCCUCGGACAACUCUAGGCCUAACGUUUCCGCAAUUUCCUCUUGGAUCUUUCUUAUGUCUGGACAUUGGGUAACCUCCGAAAAAACCACCAUAUCGUAAAGCUUGUCUUCAAUGGCUCGCCUUGCAAACUCCUUCACCAGUGUCGUCUUUCCAAUGCCGCCCAUGCCGUACACCCCAAUGAUGCUGACAUCAACAUCGAUCAAUGCAUUUUGUAUGGCCUUCAAAGUAGAAAGUCUUGAUUCGAAGGCUUCGUAGCCUUUGUGAGACUUGAGCCAUAUAUCCUCCGGAAUGGUACGGUAGGAAAUUCCAUCAACAAAUCUCCCAGCUUCUUCUCGGAGUUUAACAAUGGCCUUCACCUUUGUUUCUGCUUUCUUGCUAAGCUGAUAGCGGGUCUUCAAAUUAGGACACAAGCCCAUGAGACAUCGUUUAUUUGUUGUCUUCUCAUCAUCAAUGAAUUUGGCUGCCUGCUCAAUGAUGAUGUUCGCACUAACCAGCCACUUCUCAACCUUCUCUUCAAUAUUUUCCCCUUUUCUUUCAGCCUCAGAAACCCUGUGCUGAAUGCUUCUCCUUUCAUCCUUGAGCUUGUCUAUUUCUGCCUUGAGUUUCUCAACGUUGGCUUUAUAGUUACGCAAAUAACCAAGUCGGCGUUCUGUUGGAGGAGCCAAGCAUUUCACAAAUUCUAAAACAAUAGUAACAAUGCUUUCCACCAUCCUGGAUCCCUUUUCUUUUUUUCGAAGUUUCUGACAAGAAAAUAAACAAUGAGCGAAACACAGAGAGAGUGAGGAGAAAAAGAAAAAGAAACGCAAAGAUGGACAGUUUAUCUGGUUGUGGAAGCGGAGAAAUGAAAGAAAUCGUAAUAGCUGUUAUGGAUCUGCUGAGAAGAUGGAAACAAGGAAAAGGUUUCUAGUUCAACAACUGGAUUGCGAGCGGAGAGACUAAUUAACAAAGACUGGAGAUUACAACAAAGCAGAUGCCAAGAGAAAAGUUGAUCCAGUGAAAUUCAAGAGAGUUGACAGCAAAAGGGAGCAAAGAUUAAUAACAAAACAGCAGUGACUACAAUGAACAAAAGCAUAUGCGUUUCUUGAUUGAGAAUGAGUGCAAAGAAUGAUCCUUAAUCAAUAAAAUAUCUAACAAUAUCUUCACCGAAAGUUUGAGACAUGUGAUCCUUAUUCCACUUCGUCAAUUACACUCCAGACCAAUGCUGCCGUCAUUAUCGAACGGUCGAUAUCCAACACUUGCACGAAGAUUCCAAGAAGUUGCGUGGCUGCCGACUUUUAGAUGCAAAGCCUCAUUGUGUCGAUGUUACACGAAAGAGAGCAGUCCGGGUAAUUGCCAAAACUUAGAACUAAACAGUAGCUUAGUCAGAAAAUCAAACGCCAGUACCGGUAAAAUGACCGAUAAAAAUAUAAAAAAACAAAAAUUUUAAAGUUUUACUUCAUUGCUUUUUUAAUCUUAUUACUAUUUCUCCUUGCACUUCUAAAGAAACCAAAGCUUUAAAAGAAAUCAGCCAAAUCACGAAGAUUGAAAACUAAAUCUAUGGUUUUAGAUUUUUAUUUUAUUUUUUUAGAUAAUAGAUAUUGUUGAGUAAUGAAAAGUACCAGCUCAGCUAUCCCCGCUUCCCUCACCUUGGGGCGAAUCUCCCCAGAUGAAUGGCACAAGCAGAUUCCUGGUAAUACAUCCUGUACGGGGCAUAUGCCAACUAGAAACGAGUACCGACCAGAUGUACAUACCGACCAAGUACUCAUUAUUCAAAGAAAGAGGACACGAACUCACAAACUCACGACAAUUUUGUUAUGCCCCAAACCGUUGGGGAGAACAUGACGCCCCACGUUUACCCACGAUUCGGUGGUUGGAGACCCAUGAAGGUUUGUCAUCACCCGAAAAUGAGGGGCAUGAAUAAGACUCAGAAAACAGGGGAUGAUUGCCUAUAAAAGGCCAAGAAAUCGAUGAAAAAUGGGAGACACAAAUUGAGAGUAAAGGGGAAACUCUGUCAAAUUAUAAUCAGAAAUUCAUAUAUCCAAAUCCUUGAUACAUUUGGUAUUGAGAAUAUUGCAACUAAUAUGUACAACACAAAUCAUUCACUUUUCUCGUAAACACCUUGUACUAACUUAAGUAUCGAAGGGUUUAUGCCCAAAAAACCAUCGGCGUCUCUGAUUUGUUUCUGUGAACGCAGGCCUGGAAGGAAGAAGACGGGUGAUUUGGGUCCCAGAAGCUCGGGAAAUUGCUGAAGCUAAUGGAUCGCAGCCUCUGUUCCUUUGCCAAUACAAGCGUUGGUGAACCAAUCUGGUCGGUCCAAAGGCGACUAGAUUUCAGCAUCAACAGAUAUUAUUUUGAUGAAUUUUUUAAUAUUAGAAUAAUGUUAGGAAUUCCAAUAAUAAAAUUCUAACUUGAGACCCAAUUGUUAUGUGUUAUUUUUUUAUUGAAUAAUGAAUUUCACAACUAAUAAAAUUUAUAUUUCCAUCAUCUAAUAAAUGACUACCAUAUCAGUUGGGACUCAAUUAUUAGGAUCCUUAACAUUGCUCUUAGUAUUAAAUUGGACAUCUUAGCUAAAUCAGAUUAAAAAUCAAAUUAGUUUUUAGGCUUUUAUUCAACAUCUCUUUUUUUUUUUUUUUUGUCUAUUGGAAGUGAACGAAAUAAAAAUACAACAGGGUCAACGACUGGGCAAUUGGUAGUCAAGUAGAAGCAAAUCAAGGCUAAAUGGGAAAGAGAAAUGAUAUUUGUGCAAAAUAAGGAGAAAAUCAGUGUAACAGAAGAGAAUCAAAGUGCUUUUGAGAUAAAAAAUUGAAACAAGAAAAGGGUCGCUUGAUCCAAUGAAAAUGCAAAGAGCUGAUGGCAAAAGGGAACAAAGUUAAAUAAGAAAACAGCUAGCGCUAGCAGCGACCACAAUAAACAGAAAAUUUGAGAUGGAUUUACAAUAUUUCUGCCUUUCUUUAUGCUUUAAAAAAUAUUGCUCUAUCAAAAAAAAUAUUGAACAUUUUUAUUAUUGGAGUCACAAAUGACCUACACAAUAUAGCAAGUGACUAGGAAUAAAUAAGAAUAUAUAACUCUCUCUAAUUCUCACUCUGGCUUUUAAUUGUCACUCAAAACCCAGAAUUCAUCCUUAAAGUGUAGGCAAAUCAAGGAUGACACCGUUUGGUUGUCAUACGUGCCUUUUAGUUUUCGGAUGACAUGGCGUACACUUCUUCUGUAAACCCAACAAGACAUGUCGUACUCUUUUGUUUUGAGAUUCUAUUUCAAACUUUUCAUGCUAUGAAUGAAAGAUAAACUCCAAUCAUCAAAAUAUUUAGUGUUUGUUUGGUAAUGUAAUGUCAUAGUUGUGAAUUGAAAUUAUUUCUAUAAAAUAAAAGGAUUUGGGUCAUUGUUUGUUAUUUUCUGACAACAUUUAUUAAAUAUUAAAAAAUAAAUUUAUAUUUAUUAGGUAUUAAAAAUAAAUAAACAAACAAAAAUAAAAGUAAAAGUUUAUACAUUACGUAAAAUAAUGACAAUAUCAAUAUUUCGCACUCUAUAAUUGAGUGAUGUGUUGUCCAACUGGCAUACAUUGGUCCCAAACGGAGACUUAAAUAUCAAAGUCCAAAGUUAUUAUGAUGAUGACUUAUAAUCGCCAAACUUGACAUACGGGUAAUCAUGCAUUAUAAGGUGCUAAUUUCUUCCGAUCGGAACCUUAUUUUUCAUUUACAAAUAAAUAAAUGAUGUGACUUCACGGUUGGCGGGGUCCUUUGUGUCAUUUGGGCAUUUCACUAAAUGAUUGAUUGUAGCAGGAAGAUUCCUGGAAGUUGCCAUUUGCCAAUGCUACUAACAUUUUCAAACUUGGAAAACCCUUCAAUCAAUCUUUUAGUGGUAGGCUCUGGUAACUUGGUUUGAUUAUGACGUAUAAUUAUUUGAUAAUAAAGUUAGAGGAUGUAUUAAUAUAAAAUUUGUUUAUUGGUGUUGAAGUUAAUUAUCUCAUUAAUAAUAGUAUAAAAAGUUAAUUACUAAGAAACACAUAGCAAUAGUUAAUUGGUGUCAUAUUAUUGGGAUUCUGGGAUACAAUUUUAUAUCAUAACUUUGUAAGUGUAUACUUACUCAUCAAACUAAUAAAAUUAUUUAAAAAUUUCAGUUGGAAAAAAUAAAUUAUAUUAUUUUCAUUUCAAAUAAUCUAUAAGUUAACUCAAAACAUAAUCAAGCUGAGAAUUAAAAUAAUGCUACUGUAUGAGAGGAUUUUUAUUUUUUCCCGAAGUUUCACUAGGAAAUUAUUGAUACAUAGCUUUAUUCGGAUCAUCUCAGUUCAAACGACAAAUAAUUGAAAGACUAAGCUAAAUAGACCAGCCAACAACUUUGUACAAGAGAGUUCAAAAAUUAAGGUCAUGGUAUUAAGGUGUUCUAUCUUGAAAAGUAUAGAGUAGUAAUAAAAUAAAAACUAAUAGUUUUUGGUAAGAUAUGACAUUUAAAUAAUAAUUUUCACAAAAAUACAAGGAAUAUUUAUAAAUUACUUUUAUAGUGAGGGGACCCUCACUCUGUUAAAGUGAAAAUAUCAAUAAUAUACAAAAGACAUAUAUUUUAACACAUUAAAAAUUGUAUUUUUUUUAUCUAUUGGUGUAUUGAAAUAUGUGUUAUUUAGUUUGUUAGUGAUAUCAUUACUUUGUUAAAAUGAGAAUGUCGUUACUAGAGAAUCAUUAUGUAUACAUAUAUAAAGUGCUUCUGUCCAAGACCUAGACUUUAUUAAAAUUUGAGAAAGCAAAUAUAUUUUAUAUGGUAUAAUAGUGUAAUAACAUCACACUAUUAUAUCAUAUAGAGUAAUAGUUUUUCGAACUUUAAUAAAAUUCAAGAUUAUAGAAUGAAUGAUUUUUAUAUAUUAUAAAUUUUUUUAUCAUAAAUGGAGGACAAAAUUAACAUAUUUUCAAAUUAUAAUAAGCAUUUAUCAAAUAAUUUAACAUUGCAAUUUCUCCUAACUAGUAUAGUAAAUAAUACGACCUAGGAGAUACAUUCAAAGCAUUUCAUAAGUUAGUUGUUAAUAAUAAAUUAUAUAUGCAGCUCCAAUCAUCAUUGUACGGUGAGUAAUUUCCAGUUAUAAAUAGAUAUUACUCCCUUCCCAGCAAUUUUUGAUGACUUAAUUUAGUGGGAUCAAAAUCAACAUUGAAUUUUUGACCAGCUGCCAACAACUUGUGAGCAGUUCACAGUGGGUACUGCACAUGAUGCCUGUUUCUCCUUUUGCAUCUAUUUUUGUUGUUAACAUUAAUUUCAAUAGCAGCUCGUUAAUCCCAUUUGUUGAUUUGGGACUAGAUAAGAAUUUAUCUUGGAACUCCAAUUCUCCAAUUAUUUUAGUUGACAAUAUAUUUAACAUUAUUAAUUGCAUAUUAUUUAAUUAUCAGUAUAUAAUAUUCUUUAAUUUUCUAAUUUUAUAGGAUUAGACACAAAAUUGAUUAUGCCUUUUGAAAUUUAAGGGUUAUGUCAAUUGAAUAGAAAACUUGGAGGUAAACUUGUGGAUGUUUUUGUUGAUUAUCAAUUUAUGCAUGAAUUUUUGUACGUUUACUUUGGUUUAUAAUUAUUACUUUUAAACAUUUUUAUUGGUUUGAUUUAGGGUCAAUUUGGUAAUCCUGUAGCUUUUAAAAUAAUUACAAUUAGCUAUGCUGUAGAAAUUGAUCAAUCGUCAAGAGAAUCAGCUGAGCAUUUAGUAAAAUUUAUUUUUAAAAGUACUUUUAGUUUUAAAAGCGUUGUAUGAAUAAAACUGUUACACUAAAAAUUAAAUGUAUUGCCCACUUGGGUAAAUAAAGCUAUAUAUUACAACUGUUACACUAAAAAUUAAAUGUAUCUUAAACCCAAACUUCUUCUUCUUCUUUUUUUGACUAACAAAAUUAAAAACAAUAGUGAACACAUUCUUUAAUAAACAAUAAGUAAUAAAUAAAAUCGUGUUAAAUUUCUUAAAAACUUUCUUUCACGGUUUGCUAAAUAUUUUUAUUAGUAUUUUAAAUAAAUAAAAAUAGUUGAUUUAAUUUUUUUAAAUAAACUUAUUAGGUUCAUGUAAAGAUGUUUUUGUUAUUUUAAAAAGUGUAGAAAGUACUCCUAAAAAAAAGCGUAGAAAGUAAAACUUAAUUUUUUAAAUUUAUUAGCUGAGUGCAUAAAUAAUUGAGUGUUCAUAAUGAUUUUUAAAGUAUAGAUAGUCGGACCCUAAUAUUUUUAAUAAAUGGAAAUUUUGCUAAUAUGUUAAUGAGAAUUAAAAAGAUAAUUAAGGGAGGCAAUCGAGACAUUCAGGAUAGUUAGGAUGGGACAUGAUUGUGAGCGGUUAGAUAUUGGUCCUAAUUUUGAUCACAAAUAUAUAAACAGGACGAGUUUAUCUCUACUUACAUUCCAUUUGAUAAUUAAGAUGAGAGUGGAAUUGUCAAAUCCCAAAUCAUCCCGGACCACUGCCACCAAGGGUACUCUCACUAAUAAUAUCUAAAGAAAAAUCUACAUCUAUUUCAUACUUUUUUUUAAUGGAAAGAGCCCUCAUGGGGCUUGAAAUGGUAUCCUAAAUAAUAUUGAGAAUAUCAGGUCAUGAUUGGGUUUGUGACAAACAAAUACUACAUAGUUGGGAUACGUAGUUAUAAUGUCCCAAUUUAUGUAGUAUCUAUCAUUUAGCGCACAUAUAAAAUAUUAAUCAGCUUAAUUAAUUUAUAAAAUUUAAAUCUAAUUAAUAAGUGAUACAUAAAUGCCAAGUGCAAUACUGUAUAUGCAAAUCAUGUUUGUGGAUCAUUACAAAAUUGGCUCUUGAAAACAAGCAAGAAAGCUUAAUUAAGAACUUAAAACAAAAGAAUUAGAUUGAGAACAGUCAAGCCUUAUUUUUUCAAGGAUGGAGCUUAUAAAUCUUCAAGUACCAACAUACGCUUGGCCCAAUUGUUGUUAUUAAAAUUUCAAUAUACAUAUAUAAGUAUGAUAUAGCAAAAAUUUGAUGGUACAUAUGUCGGAAUAUACUAGUUCAUGGGUGCAUUUGAUUAUUGUUUCCAUAAAUUUGAACCAGGAAGGACGACACGAUAAAAUUUGAUUUUAUGGUAUGGUUGAUUUCAUAGCUCAUGCACUCAUUUCUUAAGAUAAUCAAAUUUUCUCUGACAUCUUUUUCAACUGUCGAAAUAUCAAUUAUGAUCAAUCAAAACGAUUUCAAAACCUUUCAACGAGACAUAUUUCUAAUACAAUAUUGUGAAAAUUACACUAAAAAAUUAAUUUAUUAUAUAUUAUUAUCCAACGAGCACACAAAAAUGAUUUCGUACAAAUCUAAAAUACUAAGCAAUUUUCAAAUAGAAUUUACCAUGUACUACAAGAAAAUAGGGUAUAUGUGACCCCUACUGUGAAUGCAAAAGCAGCCAUUACGCAUAACCCCGAGUUGCUUUUGUUACCCUUUAUGUGACGGCCACACUGCUGUCACAUAUGUUACGAACCGCGUGACGGUGAAGAGCCGUUCGGUAUACUAAUAUUUUAGAAUUUUAAAUUUAUUUCCAGUUAGAAAACUAUUCGCUGGACUCCGUGUUGCUGGCCACCAUCGUAAACAUAACUGGUUGCCAGCGAACGGCGUAAAACGCCGGCCAUCUUCUUCUUCAACGUAUUCUCCCUUCAUCUUUUGAGGUAAGCUUGUGAUUAUGAGUUUCUUCUCUUACUUAGCUUGUAAUUAUAGAUUUUGAUUUUUUUUAAUUCGUAUUGUAGCCGUUAUUGUCAAUUUUUGUCCCGCCAGCAAUAUUUUUUUAUUCCUACAAGUUGAACCCCUGUGUUCUUGUUCCAUUGGUGAGUUUGCUCACUCAAAUUAAUUUUGUUCUGCGGAAUUUACAAAGUUCAAAUGGAUUCAUUUGAAUUACUAUUGAAUUUAGCUUUAAUUCCAACAUCCAUUCUAAUGUUUUGCAAUUAGAUUUAAUUUAAUUUUAUGUUUAAAGCUUCUACAAUGAAUAGCGGAGCUUGGGUUUUAGUUUCAUUUUCUGGAUAACUUGUUUUAGUUUAUCUUGUAUGCUCACCAAAUGCUUGUUAUAUUGUCUGAUAAGUUAUAUACAUUGCUGAUUCUACAUUAAUAAUGUUACGUUGUAUUUUCAGAAAUUAUAAUACAAAAGUUUUUGCAAUGGCGUGCAUCUACAAACUGAAUUGACUUGUAGAAUAAGAGCUCGGAGUAGUGUUAUGUUCUUGAAUAAUUGAAAGUUCAUAUUGUGUAAGAGCAUGUAGAUGUAAAGCAUCAUUACCAUUUCUACAAAGUGCUUUCAUUCUGUUCAUAUGCUCUUCUUGAACUUUGAAAGGUGCCUCGUUCAAGUCCUAGCUAUAACUACUAGCUUUGAUUAAUUAAGUUCCUAUACUAGCUGAAACAGAUUUAUUUAAUUAAUUAAUUGUGUAUGUACUAAUUAUAUUGAAAGUAUAUGAAUUUUUUUUUUAACAUGAAUGACUUCUAAAUGACUUAAAAACCUAAAGGAUGUGUGAAACAAUGCUCAUUUCAUUUGAAUGAGCCCAUUAAUACUUUUAUGUCUAUGAUUUUCAAUAUUGGCUAAAGCAUUUCAGUUAAGUGGUUUACCUAACAGAGAAAAAAAUUUAAUAGAAAACUUCAGAGUUCUAACAGAAAUAUAGUUCACUAUGCAGAUAUAGUUAUUUUACGGUAUACAAAUCAAGUUGUCCUAAUCUCAAUGUCCUAUGACCGAUUUUAUUUUAUAUAGUCAUUAAUUUUUUCCUUGGUUUUUUGUGUUUAUGAGUAUGAAAUAGUGGGAUUUGGUGUACCUUAGCAUCUUUUGAAAAUUCUCUUUCAGUGUGGCCAACAGAAAUAUACAUAUAAUCAAGUUUCUUAAUCGUGUAUAUUAGUUUUGGGUAUGAAUGUUCCUAUUCUAGUUCGAGGCAAAGCUUCUUCGUUUUGGUCUUCAGAUUUCCAGUAGGUUAAGUUAAUCAACUAUCAUAACUGGCUAGCUAGUUAUUGUCUGCCUUGGCGCCAUUACCCAGGCCAUUAUAUUGCAUAGCAUAAGGAAUAGUGAUUAGGGGAUUAUUAGUGAUUUGUUGAGCUUAUUAUCGACCAAACAAACAUAUUCGCCUUUGCCCACAACUUAGUUUGAUUAGUUAUUAGACCAUAAAGAGCCUUGAUCUAUUCAUUGGCUUUAUUAUUUUUAUUUGGUUUUUCUUUCAACAAUAUUGUUGAUUUCUUAUAAAAAUAUUCAUUGGUUUUUAAACACCUAAUCAUUGGCUAUAUGAAGCUAAUUAAAACUGAGGCUUUGGAUCAAUUUCUUCUAACAAGAUACAAAUGAGCAUUAACCUAUCUCCUAUGAGUAAAUUUUUUUAAUAUCCUUGAUUUGUAAGGAUCUGGAGGCCUGAAAUCCUCUAGAUUUUUUUUAACACUGUCAAUGUUCUUUUUAUUCUGAGAAGGAAAUAAAAGGUUUUAUCUUUCAUACCCAAAUAGUAAGCUGGCCUUGUCUUAACAUGGCCUCCCGAGGACUUGCAAGAUUCAUAGUGCCCCCCACCCCAAAAAAUAAAAAUAAAAAACACAAAUAGGAAGAUUUUGCAAGAUUCACCACCAGGUUUUUUUUAAUUUGUUAAUUGUGUGUACGUGCUAGUUAUAUGUUGAAAGAAUAGGAAGAAGUAUUUCAACAUGAAUGACUUAAAACUUAUUGCUCAGUAAACAUAAUCUGCAUGUAUUUAUCGUUUGUAUUUUUUAUGGUUUUGCUAAAGAAAUGAUAUGUGAAAUAAUGCUACAUUGCAUCAGGAAUAAAUUGAAGAGAUUUAUGAUAUUUAUGUGUUAUUCAAAUUUCAGAUUCAAUUUUAAACUUUUGAUACGUGCAUUGAAAGCUUAGACUUGUUUAAGAAAUUAUUAAUAGACACAUGUUUUUAUUAGUGUCAUCUUUGGAUGAUAGUGAGGAUCAUAUGUCUAUUAAUAAUUCUUGAAUUGUCCAGGCUUGGACAGUUUGGGAAUGCAUAGUUCACUCUGGUAGCUAGUAGCUGAAGUUUUUUCCCACGUAAAAAUGGGUUUUUCAGUAGCUGCUCCUCGUGUUCUCUGGGUACGUACUAGGUGAAUGGGUGUCAUGUGUUGUUUUGGCAUAACGCAUAAACACUUAUAUAGCUAUGUCGUGUGCUUGGAGAAUUAUAGGGAGAUGGUGCCGAAAUUUUUAUAAACGUGGAAGAAAACUUUAGGUACUUGAGAUUGAAGAAACUUAUGCAUUCUUGAGUGGGAUAUGUAGGAUUACUUACCUUUUGUAAAUAUGAAGGGAAUGUUGGAUAUAUUGGGGAUAGUGUAGGAGCUGAGUUGGAUGAAUGUAAUUGGUGAUGAUUUUGCUGAGCUGACCUUGGUUUUGAGCUUGUAAUUUUGUUUGUAAAUGGAGUGCUAUCUCCAAUGUUGGUUUAUAAAUAUGUUUCAGGACUUGCUGACCUAAUUUUUUGUUUCUAGGUUACAGGCUUUAUAUAUCUGUAAUUGAUGGCGAAGUGAAGUUCCCAGAACUUGGCGAGGAUGUUUCUUUACAGAAGGUAUUGGAAACUGUUUUUUACAUUAAUUAUUGUUGUAUAUAUACUUUGAUUUUCACAUCUUUUUCUCUGAUUCUUGUGGCUUUGCUUGCUUUCAUAUAUGUAAAUUCUAAUGAAAUUAACCAUAAAAUUGUAAAAUGAUCUUUUUAUUAUAUUGCAAAACUGUGCACACACGAAAAUAUAUUGUUUAGUAGUAGAAAUGAAGAACUAAAAUGAUUUACUUAACUAAUUUUUGUAGCGCAUUAAAAGGAGAUAGUCAUGGACAUGUGUUGGGUUGGUUUGCCAAAUAGAUAUCCAAGUCAUAUACUGAUGGGGAUGAAAAAUUUAUAGAUUUUGCAUUUGAGAAUGUUGUUGGUGGUACAAGAAUUUAAUGUCCUUUUAAGAAGUGUUGUAAUCUAUAUUUCGUUAUAAGGAAAGUGGCUGAUGAUGAUAUGGUUGGAAUGAUACAAUGCAUCACGUAAUCAAAUGUUCAAGUUACACGGAGCAUUGUUAUGGACUAUCAGUGACUUUCUAGCAUUGCCAACUUGUCUGGGUGGAGUAUUAAAGGUAAAUAAGCAUGUCUUGUUUGCCAACAAAACACUAGAUCUAAUUGGUUGAUACAUAGUAGAAAAUUUUGUCACGUGGGUCACCGUCGAUUUUUACCAACAAAUCAUAGGUUUCGAAAAUAUAGUGUCUUUUGAUAAAACUAGAGAGUAGGGACCAGCACAUUCUCGGUUGUCUGGAUCUGAAGUGAAAAAGCAGUUUAAUAUACUUACUGAGUAUAAGAUUGAAGACUUGAAAAUAGGAGAAUGAAUAAAAUGAGAGAAAUGAUAAGAUUACUUGGAAGAAGAAAAGCAUAUUUUAUGAACUACCGUGUUGGGAGUUCAAUUUGAUUCAUCAUAAUCUUGAUCUCAUGGGCUGUUUUGAUUUUUGUUAUGAACUCAGAUCAAAAGUUUAAUGUGAUCAAAAUUUCUUAAAAAUAGUGAAAACGACUCCUAAUAAUAUGGAAGAUGGCUAUAAAAGAUAAAAGGAAAGGCUUAAAAAGAAAAGCCAUGCCUGUCCAAAAAAAAAAAAAAUCAACAAAAAUCAAAACGGUGCGUUUGAGAGUGUAUAAAAUACAUUUAGAGUGGGAGUUGUGUUGUUGCUUGAAGGCAGAAAGAUAUUUGUCGACGAAGCCAAAACCAAAGAUGAAGCCCAUAAAGCUCAAAACUCCACCGGAGCAAAUUCAGACAAUUACGAGGGUUAUGUUUGACAUAGUCAAGGAAGACGGUCCUCUCACCGUUGCCGAAACUUGGGAACGCGUCAAGGUGUGUGUAUCUGUUAAAUUGAAUUUCAACCGUUUGAUCUGUAAUUAUAAUUAAUCCAAUCGAUCUGACAGUGAUCACUGACCAUAAUACUAGUAGUUGUUUUACAUUUUCAGCAGGCUAGAGCGGGUGGAUUGACGGGCAAAAGCUCAGGCUCGUCUGCAAUCACAUGGGCCCUCAUAAGCAAAUCCUGUACACAACUUGGUUCACUAAACCCAACAACUUGAAGCAGCCAAAAUCAGGGAAUGAUCCUUCUCCGUCACAACCCUAGCUGCCUUAACCUUGUAGUGACACGGUGAAGAUGGAAGCCCCUCAGCAUGUAAACUUUUCAACAGCGACAGAGCUCUUAUUCCAGAGGCUGCACAGAAGAGCGACCUGAAUCCUCUUCAAAACUUUCAAAUUUUUAUCAAGUAAAGCUUUCAAAAUUUCUCAACAAACUGAUUAUUUGGUGUGGUUGCCACAUUUUGUGCAACUGCUAUUCGUCUUCAAGUACAAAUUCCUUGCCUUCUAAGUUAGGGAACAUAGAUGUGGAGCAAACAGGGAAAUAGAUGUGGAGCAAACAGGGAAACAGCAAUGAUGGCAAUUAACAAACUAAUAGCAGUAUUACAUUUGAUUCUUUAGCCCAAUUUUGUUCCUUCUGUCAGCCAUUCUUCAAAAGUUUUUGAAAAUUAGAUGUGAAGCAAAAAAAAAACAAAUUUAGACAACAGAAGCCCUGUGCUCAACAUCAUAUAUAUACCUUGAAUACCUAAUAUACUAAAUUUCACAUAUAAAAUACUAGAGAUUUCAAACAGUACCAGCAAUAGAAUAAUGACAACGACAACAAUAACAGAAAAUUACAAGAUUGCUGACAAAAUUUAUGUGAUUUACUGUGCCUUUAUGCAUGCAAAAUGAAACUGAAGAUAAAAAAUUUAGGGAAAAGGACACAGAGACCCCCAACGUUUGAAUAAGGGACACAAAAUCCCUUAAUGUUUCAAAAAAGACACUCAGACCCCCAUUUGUUAACAUUAAAUUAUAAUUUUACCAUUGUACCCUUAUAGCAUAUUAAAAAAUAAUUAUUCAUUAUCCAAUUUAUUUCUAUAUUAUUAAUAAAAUUACGAAUAUAACUUCAUUACUCAAUUUUUCCAUUUAAUUUUUAUCAAAUUUUAUCUUCAAACUAAAUAAAUUUAAUCCAUUGCUCAAAAAUAAAAAUAAAUUAAAUUGAUUAUUAAUAUAAUAAAAAUAACAAUUCUCCAUAUGUUAUUUCUUAUAAUUUCUUAUAUAUAAAUUAAAUUGAUAAUUUCUUAAAAAUAACAAUUCUCCAUAUAUAAAUUAAAUUUAUUUUAAUUUAAUAUAUGUUAUUUUUAUAUUAAAUAUAUGUUAUUUUUAUUAUAUUAGUAAUCAAUUUAAUUUAUUUUUAUUCUUGAGUAAUGGAUUAAAUUUAUUUAGUUUGAAGAGAAAAUUUGACAAAAAUUAAAUGGAAAAAUUGGAUAAUGAAGUUAUAUUCGUAAUUUUAUUAAUAAUAUAGGAAUAAAUUGAACAAUGAACAAUUAUUUUUUAAUAUGCUAUGAGGGUAUAAUGGUAAAAUUAUAAUUUACUGUUAACAAAUGGGGGUCUCAGUGUUUUUUUUGAAACAUUAGGGGUUUUGUGUCCCUUAUUCAAACGUUGGGGGUCUCUGUGUCCUUUUCCCAAAAAUUUAUAAACUAGAAAUUUAUAAUAAUCUAACUUAUUCUCGUUACUAUUAAAAAAUAAGUAAACAUAUCAAUAACAAUAUAGUUUAUUAUGAUUAUAAUUCAUUCAAUUAAAAUAAAUAAUUUAUUCUUAUUUCUAUUCUCUAUUCUAAUUUCAGUAAAUUUUGAUUUUAGUUUAUUUUAAUUAUUGAUUAGUUGUAAACUUAACUGGAAAUUUAUUGCAUAUAUUACGAGAAGCAGUACACACCAAUGGUAAAUUGAUACAUCGUUUUUGAGCUUAAGAUAGUCAAAUGAAAGAAACACAACGUAGGGUUCAUGAAACACUUUCAAAGCUGCUGAUGACUUAAAGUGAAUAACCUCAGCAUGUAAACUUAACUUCAAAGGACGGAGCACAAGUUUCACAGAAAAACAGCUCUUAUUUCUGAUGCUGCGAACACAGAGGAGUGACCUCAAUCUUCUUCAUCACUUGGGAAUUCUGCAAUUAUAGAGCACGACAUUGAGCAUGAACUAGAAAAAAUAUUUAUUUUCUACAAUUUUCAUAUAACCUCACUAACCAAGAUUAAUUUUGUGGUAAUGUAUUGGGUCAUUAAUUCAUAUGUUUUUACUGUCAUCACUUUAGAAAAAACUAAUUUCUCAAUGUGAAAUGGCCCAUAAAAGGUAUUCUCAUUUAAAAACUAAAUUUGACAAACCCCUCGAUUAAAGCAGGGGAGAGAAAAGAAAAAAAAAAAGAUCUGAAGGCUUUCCACAUGAAAAUGUUGUCACUUUGGAUGAUAUUUUCAAGGGAUUUCAUUCUAAAAAUAAAAUACCUGGGACCUUAUUCUUCAAAUUGACAGCUCGCCCAGUACUAAACGCGUAUGAGAUCAGUACUGGGACAAGUAACGAGACGACCCCUCCAACAGCUGAAAAUAAAAUUCGCAUUCAUCAAUUUAAAUUGAAAUUCAUAUUAUGAAAUUAAAACUAAUGAUUAAUGAAUUUUCAAGGAAUUUAAUAAGAUUCUCAUAUAUAAACGUGAUAAAAAAUUCACUCAUCAAUAACAAAUAUUCUAACAUUUUGUUGAUGUAAUUGUUGUAUGGUUGUGUUAAGGUCAUUAUUAGACCAACGCAGUUUGUCAUCACUCAUUCCGUACCAGACGUUUACUCUCGGAGGCGUGAUUGAUUCUCCUUUGGUGAAAUCUUCAUCUUCGGACAACCAAUCACAGUAAGAUAUUCCAAAGAUGGGAAUUUGAAGGCGUAAUUGCCAGAGGAGAAGCUUGUGAGACUAUCUAAAUCAAACAGGGACAACGUAGUCAGUUUGCUGAAAACAAUCUCUUCUUUUAAAUAUGCUGUUUCAUUUCAAGACUGGCAAAAUUCAUUGUGUAAUCAAAGUUUUCAAUGAUCCAACUAAUAUAUAUAUAUAUGUAUGUAUAUUCCUUCUCUAGUGCAGACAUUCUCAUUUUUUUUUUUCAUGUGGACCAGUUUUUAGAUCCCCUGGUUUAAAAGAGUUAGUUUUUAACUCUUUAAAACCGCAUGGCUUCAUAAUUUAUUUAAAAACUAACUCUCUUAAACCGCACGGUUUAAAAGCGUGUCCACAUUAAAAAAAAAAUACGGACCCCCACACCUGAGAAUGAUUAUAUAUAUAUAUAUAUAUAUAUAUAGACACACGCUCUUAAACCGUGGGAUUUGAAAGCUUCUCCGCAUGAAGAAAGUAAAAAAUAAGGGCAUUCCCACUAGAAACAAACUCCAUAUAGGUAUUUAUUAAACCUCCUGAUCUGUGAGUGAGGAACAACAAAUAUAAUUGAUAAAAAAAAUCUAAAAUUUGGUUUCAUACCUUCUUGAACGAGAACAGGGUUGUUGUGCCGGAAUACCAAAUUGAUCAUUCUCGUUAUUCUGGGACAACGUUAUUUUAUCACAAUUACAGGCCUCCAAUGUUUUUUAGUGCUGGCCAUUCUGAAGUAUGCAUUCCAGGGUAUAAACAUCCGAGUUCUGGUAGACCUUCGAGAUUCAGAGUGGUCACUUGUGGAAAGACAAAAUAUGGGGUCACUUGAUCUGCUCUGUCUUUGGAGAUGAUCUCUUGUAAACCCAUACAUAUCCGUAUCUCCAGGUGUUGGAGGUGCUCAAGGCUUUGGAUCAUAGAAGCUGAAAAUAUGUAUUUUAAUUUGUCACAGCCCCACACUAUCAAUCGUGUCAAACUUUGAAAGCCGCAAGUUGAUUGUCAUGCAAAAUCUCGUCGACAUUAAUAGCAUUCAGCUCCAAAGCCUCCAAAUUUGGCAACACUACCUGAAGAUAAUUUUCUCUUUAGAUCCAAUAUCCGUAUGGAAAGCACUUGUUUUGACACAAUAUCCAUAUAAGAAGCACUUAAUUAAGAGCUUAAUUAGCGAGUGUAUGAGACUUUUUUUUUUUCAAAUGCCAGUGCAUGAUAGAACUAAAAAAAAAAAAGAAGCAUUAGCCUACGUACCUUCUCGUUGAAAAGCAGAGUUGACGUUUCCGAACUGAUCUCGUUGGAACUGGCUGUCAAUUCCUCUUGCGACUCUUGUCUGUUUGGUGAUGUGGAAGAAGUCUUCACUUCACCGCAAAACCUUGUAACCUUUGGAAGCUUUCCCAGACUCAAAGAUCUUAAUUGACCAAACUCUAUCUUCCCAUCAACAUCAACAUCAGCUUCUCCUCCAGUUGCAAAAAUCUCUUCCAUGCUGCUGCAAUUGAUAACUGCAAUCCUCUCCAGUCUUGGAAGGCAUUUUGUACUACUAGAGAGCCAGAAGAUAUUACUCAACUCAUCACAAUUUUCUACUUUUAUGGUUUUGAGUUCAUUGAAGGACUCUAUUUGAGUCGAUCAAUACAUAUCCUCUCCAUAUUGAUCAAAUUUUGAAGAGUAUGGGACUCCAAAAGAGGAAAGGCGACACAUGGUUCUCUCUCCAUUGAAUCGACGAUACACAGGAAGUCUGGAUUAUUUUGAACAUGGAGAUGCUUCAAUUGUGAAAAGCCCUCAGUGUCCAAUUCUAAAACAACAUUCUUGAUUCCUUGCAACUUAUCCAAACAUAAGUAUUCAACGUUAUUGAUGCGCUGCAACUUCUCGGAGCAAAUGGCCAUAGAAUCAAGCUUGAGCUUCAAUGUUCUUAAACUCUCAUGAUUACUGAUCAUAAAGUGCUGCCGACUUCAAACCAAUCAUUCUCAAUAACCAGGGUAGAGUCGAAUGAUGCAUCUCCUAUUGAUAUAUCAAACCUUUCCAGCUUUUUGGAAAAAAAGCCAUCCGGUAAAAUGCUAUCAUUUUUAACAUCUAUCUAAGGUGGUCAAUCGCCUCAUAUGCAUCAAUUCGUCGAGGGUGGCAUUACUUCUUUCACUAUUGGCCUUUUCAACUUCCCAUUCAAUAGGGGAAUUACCCAUAUACAGUUCUUCCAAUCGAGUGAAGCUUGAUAAGACGUUGGGCACAAUAAAUUUUAGUUGCAAAACAAUCUGUUAAAUCUAACAGCCUUAACUUAGUCAGUUGACCUAGUUCGCCAGGCAACCGUACAAUAUCAGAAUUUAAAAAGCUAAGGAUUUCUAGAUUCUUCAACUUUCCAAUUAUGGCUAUGUCUCCCAACAUGCUUUGAUCUAGACAGAGUGUUUGAAGAUUGCUAGAAGACCGAUUGAAGAUGGCAAUGAAAAUAAUCGCAUUCGUGUCAAAUCUACAACUCGAAGCUUUUUCAGCCUUUGAAAAUGUUGUCAGGAAUAUUGACCUCAACAAAAAGUGUUUGGGAAAUAUGUAAAAAUUCAAGUUGCAGACAUUCAAAUUCCUCAGAAACUUCAUGAAUGCUACUAUUUAGUAAAAGAGAUUGCAUAGCAUUUUUUAAGUGCAUCCUCAUCUGGCCACUCCCACACAGCCUCAUUUCUCACCAAUAAAGCAUGUUGGUCUCGAUUUAAACUUUAACUCAAUUUGAAAAACUGAGCAAGUAUGCGUUACAGGAAAUCAAAAAAGCUCCACAUACCCAGAUCAUGAUCUCACGUUGAAUCCAGGUGGGAGAUAUAUUUAUGAUCAAGCCCAACAAUCGAAGGGGGCAAAAAAAAAAAAAAAAAAAAAAAUCUACCAGACAUAUGAUCAUAUUGACCACGAGCUUCAUACGCCGUGGAUUUAUUAACAAAAGUGGAAUUAAUUAAUCAUGAGCAUGUGUUCUAGUUAAGUCAAAAGAGAACUUAAUUAAGAACGCAUAUAUAAUUCAUAAUCAGCACAUAAAAAAUCACUAGUGCUUGCCCCUCCUGCCCUUGCCGUGCUUGCCGUGCUUGCCCCUGCCCUUGCUCUUUCCAUGCUGGUAGUAGCCGCCGUGCUUGCCGUGUGUGUAUGCACCGUGAGCUCCAGGAUAUGCGUUAUUAUCUGCAACAAAAUAAGAAAUUAAAUCAUAAGGCUUAUAAUUAGCUCGCUCGCUAAGAGUGAUUAAAAUAAUACCGUGCGGAACGGAUGGGCCAGGAUAUCCCGUUGGUGUGUAACCACUGGCGAGUGCUGCUCCUGUAGGCGGGUAGCCGGCACCGGCUGGGCAGCAUGAUCAGCACCUUCCAUGAUUUUGAUGAUCACCUAAUAAAUAAUAACUUGGUCCAAAAUAAACAACAAUAAAUAAUUGUGAUUAAUAAAAAGUAAUAUAUUCUCUAAUUAAAAACAUUAAUGAUCAUUGGAGAGCAAGCGAGAAAUACUUACUGAAUGCGAUGGGACAGACAACAUCAUGCAUAGAGAAUUGUUCAUCUUCAACGAAUUUGGCUGCCCGGUCAAUGAUGCCGUUAGCACUAACCAGCCACUUCUCAACCUUCUCUUCAAUCUCUUCCCCUUUUUCUUUUGCCUCUGAAACUCUGCGCCGAAUGCUCGUACGUUCAACCUUCAACUUCUCCAUUUCCGUCUUGAGAUUCUCAAGGUGGCAUUGUAGUUCCGCUUGCGCAAAUAAACAAGUUGGCGUUCUGUUGAGGAGCCAAGCAUUUACAAGUUCCAAAACGAGAGUAACAAUGAUUUCCAGCAUCUUGAAUCCUGACAACAAUGUAGAAGUGAAGAAGGCCAAAGGACAGUCAAAACAGAGAGACAGCGUUACGACAACAGUUAUGAGCUAAAAAUAAAUAACAAACAAACAGAAGCAAAGUGUUUUUCGAAUGAGAAGAAGGAAGCAAGAAAAACUUAAAACUAGUAUAAUAAAUUUAUACUAAAACUAGUAUAGUAAAACAAGAAGUCAAGAACCAGCAACUUUUACACACAAAAUAAAACCUUAAAACUAGUAUAAUAAAUUUAUCAUCAAGUUGCAGCCUUCUUAUUCAACAAUUACAGCAUUAUCUUGAGCUCUGUGUUUCUUUUUUUAAAAAUUAUUCAAAAAAAUCUGCAUUUUUUUUCAACGAUAAAAAUUAUAUUUUUGUCUCAUAUAAUAUAAAAUUAAAAAAAAAACAAACAUAUAUUAAAGGUCUGUUUGGGAUUAUUUUUAGAGGCUCAAAAGUAAUUUUUUAAAAAGUUAAAUGCUAAUUUUGGUAUUUAAUAAAAUUUUUAGAAGUCACCUUUGGUAAAAUCAUCAAUCCUACAACAAAUUUUGAAAGCAAAUAGUUUUUCAAAUUUUUAUUUUGAUAAUUAAUUUUAUACUUAAUAUAAUUCCAUAUACAUCCCUACAUAUAUUAAUUAUCCUUAUUAAUUAGAAAAUAAAAUUAUUAACUUUAAAGAUAUUAUCAACAAUUACAUUGAGAUAACAAACUAAAAAUAAAAUUAAUAAUAUAAAAUAUUUAUUUUAGUAAUCAAUUAUUAUACUUACAAGAUAAAAAAUAUUUUAUUUAAAUGUUUAUAAAUGUACAAAUAAAUUUUAUUUAAUAUUAUAUUCAAUUUAGUCAUUUACAUUGUCAAUAGGACUUCUAAAAAUAAAUUUUCCUAAAUGUUUAACUAAUUCUCUUCAUAGUGAUUAUUUNUUUUAUUAUAUUAGUAAUCAAUUUAAUUUAUUUUUAUUCUUGAGUAAUGGAUUAAAUUUAUUUAGUUUGAAGAGAAAAUUUGACAAAAAUUAAAUGGAAAAAUUGGAUAAUGAAGUUAUAUUCGUAAUUUUAUUAAUAAUAUAGGAAUAAAUUGAACAAUGAACAAUUAUUUUUUAAUAUGCUAUGAGGGUAUAAUGGUAAAAUUAUAAUUUACUGUUAACAAAUGGGGGUCUCAGUGUUUUUUUUGAAACAUUAGGGGGUUUUGUGUCCCUUAUUCAAACGUUGGGGGUCUCUGUGUCCUUUUCCCAAAAAUUUAUAAACUAGAAAUUUAUAAUAAUCUAACUUAUUCUCGUUACUAUUAAAAAAUAAGUAAACAUAUCAAUAACAAUAUAGUUUAUUAUGAUUAUAAUUCAUUCAAUUAAAAUAAAUAAUUAUUCUUAUUUCUAUUCUCUAUUCUAAUUUCAGUAAAUUUUGAUUUUAGUUUAUUUUAAUUAUUGAUUAGUUGUAAACUUAACUGGAAAUUUAUUGCAUAUAUUACGAGAAGCAGUACACACCAAUGGUAAAUUGAUACAUCGUUUUUGAGCUUAAGAUAGUCAAAUGAAAGAAACACAACGUAGGGUUCAUGAAACACUUUCAAAGCUGCUGAUGACUUAAAGUGAAUAACCUCAGCAUGUAAACUUAACUUCAAAGGACGGAGCACAAGUUUCACAGAAAAACAGCUCUUAUUUCUGAUGCUGCGAACACAGAGGAGUGACCUCAAUCUUCUUCAUCACUUGGGAAUUCUGCAAUUAUAGAGCACGACAUUGAGCAUGAACUAGAAAAAAUAUUUAUUUUCUACAAUUUUCAUAUAACCUCACUAACCAAGAUUAAUUUUUGUGGUAAUGUAUUGGGUCAUUAAUUCAUAUGUUUUUACUGUCAUCACUUUAGAAAAAACUAAUUUCUCAAUGUGAAAUGGCCCAUAAAAGGUAUUCUCAUUUAAAAACUAAAUUUGACAAACCCCUCGAUUAAAGCAGGGAGAGAAAAGAAAAAAAAAAGAUCUGAAGGCUUUCCACAUGAAAAUGUUGUCACUUUGGAUGAUAUUUUCAAGGGAUUUCAUCUAAAAAAUAAAUACCUGGGACCUUAUUCUUCAAAUUGACAGCUCGCCCAGUACUAAACGCGUAUGAGAUCAGUACUGGGAAAGUAACGAGACGACCCUCCAACAGCUGAAAAUAAAAUUCGCAUUCAUCAAUUUAAAUUGAAAUUCAUAUUAUGAAAUUAAAACUAAUGAUUAAUGAAUUUUCAAGGAAUUUAAUAAGAUUCUCAUAUAUAAACGUGAUAAAAAAUUCACUCAUCAAUAACAAAUAUUCUAACAUUUUGUUGAUGUAAUUGUUGUAUGGUUGUGUUAAGGUCAUUAUUAGACCAACGCAGUUUGUCAUCACUCAUUCCGUACCAGACGUUUACUCUCGGAGGCGUGAUUGAUUCUCCUUUGGUGAAAUCUUCAUCUUCGGACAACCAAUCACAGUAAGAUAUUCCAAAGAUGGGAAUUUGAAGGCGUAAUUGCCAGAGGAGAAGCUUGUGAGACUAUCUAAAUCAAACAGGGACAACGUAGUCAGUUUGCUGAAAACAAUCUCUUCUUUUAAAUAUGCUGUUUCAUUUCAAGACUGGCAAAAUUCAUUGUGUAAUCAAAGUUUUCAAUGAUCCAACUAAUAUAUAUAUAUAUGUAUGUAUAUAUUCCUUCUCUAGUGCAGACAUUCUCAUUUUUUUUUUUUCAUGUGGACCAGUUUUUAGAUCCCCUGGUUUAAAAGAGUUAGUUUUUAAACUCUUUAAAACCGCAUGGCUUCAUAAUUUAUUUAAAAACUAACUCUCUUAAACCGCACGGUUUAAAAGCGUGUCCACAUUAAAAAAAAAUACGGACCCCACACCUGAGAAUGAUUAUAUAUAUAUAUAUAUAUAUAUAGACACACGCUCUUAAACCGUGGGAUUUGAAAGCUUCUCCAUGAAGAAAGUAAAAAAUAAGGGCAUUCCCACUAGAAACAAACUCCAUAUAGGUAUUUAUUAAACCUCCUGAUCUGUGAGUGAGGAACAACAAAUAUAAUUGAUAAAAAAAAUCUAAAAUUUGGUUUCAUACCUUCUUGAACGAGAACAGGGGUUGUUGUGCCGGAAUACCAAAUUGAUCAUUCUCGUUAUUCUGGGACAACGUUAUUUUAUCACAAUUACAGGCCUCCAAUGUUUUUUAGUGCUGGCCAUUCUGAAGUAUGCAUUCCAGGGUAUAAACAUCCGAGUUCUGGUAGACCUUCGAGAUUCAGAGUGGUCACUUGUGGAAAGACAAAAUAUGGGGUCACUUGAUCUGCUCUGUCUUUGGAGAUGAUCUCUUGUAAACCCAUACAUAUCCGUAUCUCCAGGUGUUGGAGGUGCUCAAGGCUUUGGAUCAUAGAAGCUGAAAAUAUGUAUUUUAAUUUGUCACAGCCCCACACUAUCAAUCGUGUCAAACUUUGAAAGCCGCAAGUUGAUUGUCAUGCAAAAUCUCGUCGACAUUAAUAGCAUUCAGCUCCAAAGCCUCCAAAUUUGGCAACUACCUGAAGAUAAUUUUCUCUUUAGAUCCAAUAUCCGUAUGGAAAGCACUUGUUUUGACACAAUAUCCAUAUAAGAAGCACUUAAUUAAGAGCUUAAUUAGCGAGUGUAUGAGACUUUUUUUUUUUUCAAAUGCCAGUGCAUGAUAGAACUAAAAAAAAAAAAGAAGCAUUAGCCUACGUACCUUCUCGUUGAAAAGCAGAGUUGACGUUUCCGAACUGAUCUCGUUGGAACUGGCUGUCAAUUCCUCUUGCGACUCUUGUCUGUUUGGUGAUGUGGAAGAAGUCUUCACUUCACCGCAAAACCUUGUAACCUUUGGAAGCUUUCCCAGACUCAAAGAUCUUAAUUGACCAAACUCUAUCUUCCCAUCAACAUCAACAUCAGCUUCUCCUCCAGUUGCAAAAAUCUCUUCCAUGCUGCUGCAAUUGAUAACUGCAAUCCUCUCCAGUCUUGGAAGGCAUUUUGUACUACUAGAGAGCCAGAAGAUAUUACUCAACUCAUCACAAUUUUCUACUUUUAUGGUUUUGAGUUCAUUGAAGGACUCUAUUUUGAGUCGGAUCAAUACAUAUCCUCUCCAUAUUGAUCAAAUUUUGAAGAGUAUGGGACUCCAAAAGAGGAAAGGCGACACAUGGUUCUCUCUCCAUUGAAUCGACGAUACACAGGAAGUCUGGAUUAUUUUGAACAUGGAGAUGCUUCAAUUGUGAAAAGCCCUCAGUGUCCAAUUCUAAAACAACAUUCUUGAUUCCUUGCAACUUAUCCAAACAUAAGUAUUCAACGUUAUUGAUGCGCUGCAACUUCUCGGAGCAAAUGGCCAUAGAAUCAAGCUUGAGCUUCAAUGUUCUUAAACUCUCAUGAUUACUGAUCAUAAAGUGCUGCCGACUUUCAAACCAAUCAUUCUCAAUAACCAGGGUAGAGUCGAAUGAUGCAUCUCCUAUUGAUAUAUCAAACCUUUCCAGCUUUUUGGAAAAAAAGCCAUCCGGUAAAAUUGCUAUCAUUUUUAACAUCUAUCUAAGGUGGUCAAUCGCCUCAUAUGCAUCAAUUCGUCGAGGGUGGCAUUACUUCUUUCACUAUUGGCCUUUUCAACUUCCCAUUCAAUAGGGAAUUACCCAUAUACAGUUCUUCCAAUCGAGUGAAGCUUGAUAAGACGUUGGGCACAAUAAAUUUUAGUUGCAAACAAUCUGUUAAAUCUAACAGCCUUAACUUAGUCAGUUGACCUAGUUCGCCAGGCAACCGUACAAUAUCAGAAUUUAAAAAGCUAAGGAUUUCUAGAUUCUUCAAACUUUCCAAUUAUGGCUAUGUCUCCCAACAUGCUUUGAUCUAGACAGAGUGUUUGAAGAUUUGCUAGAAGACCGAUUGAAGAUGGCAAUGAAAAUAAUCGCAUUCGUGUCAAAUCUACAACUCGAAGCUUUUUCAGCCCUUUGAAAAUGUUGUCAGGAAUAUUGACCUCAACAAAAGUGUUUUGGGAAAUAUGUAAAAAUUCAAGUUGCAGACAUUCAAAUUCCUCAGAAACUUCAUGAAUGCUACUAUUUAGUAAAGAGAUUGCAUAGCAUUUUUUUAAGUGCAUCCUCAUCUGGCCACUCCCACACAGCCUCAUUUCUCACCAAUAAAGCAUGUUGGUCUCGAUUUAAACUUUAACUCAAUUUGAAAAACUGAGCAAGUAUGCGUUACAGGAAAUCAAAAAAGCUCCACAUACCCAGAUCAUGAUCUCACGUUGAAUCCAGGUGGGAGAUAUAUUUAUGAUCAAGCCCAACAUCGAAGGGGGCAAAAAAAAAAAAAAAAAAAAAUCUACCAGACAUAUGAUCAUAUUGACCACGAGCUUCAUACGCCGUGGAUUUAUUAACAAAAAGUGGGAAUUAAUUAAUCAUGAGCAUGUGUUCUAGUUAAGUCAAAAGAGAGACUUAAUUAAGAACGCAUAUAUAAUUCAUAAUCAGCACAUAAAAAGAUCACUAGUGCUUGCCCCUCCUGCCCUUGCCGUGCUUGCCGUGCUUGCCCCUGCCCUUGCUCUUUCCAUGCUGGUAGUAGCCGCCGUGCUUGCCGUGUGUGUAUGCACCGUGAGCUCCAGGAUAUGCGUUAUUAUCUGCAACAAAAUAAGAAAUUAAAUCAUAAGCUUAUAAUUAGCUCGCUCGCUAAGAGUGAUUAAAAUAAUACCGUGCGGAACGGAUGGGCCAGGAUAUCCCGUUGGUGUGUAACCACUGGCGAGUGCUGCUCCUGUAGGCGGGUAGCCGGCACCGGCUGGGGCAGCAUGAUCAGCACCUUCCAUGAUUUUGAUGAUCACCUAAUAAAUAAUAACUUGGUCCAAAAUAAACAACAAUAAAUAAUUGUGAUUAAUAAAAAGUAAUAUAUUCUCUAAUUAAAACAUUAAUGAUCAUUGGAGAGCAAGCGAGAAAUACUUACUGAAUGCGAUGGGACAGACAACAUCAUGCAUAGAGAAUUGUUCAUCUUCAACGAAUUUGGCUGCCCGGUCAAUGAUGCCGUUAGCACUAACCAGCCACUUCUCAACCUUCUCUUCAAUCUCUUCCCCUUUUUCUUUUGCCUCUGAAACUCUGCGCCGAAUGCUCGUACGUUCAACCUUCAACUUCUCCAUUUCCGUCUUGAGAUUCUCAAGGUUGGCAUUGUAGUUCCGCUUGCGCAAAUAAACAAGUUGGCGUUCUGUUGGAGGAGCCAAGCAUUUUACAAGUUCCAAAACGAGAGUAACAAUGAUUUCCAGCAUCUUGAAUCCUGACAACAAUGUAGAAGUGAAGAAGGCCAAAGGACAGUCAAAACAGAGAGACAGCGUUACGACAAGCAGUUAUGGAGCUAAAAAUAAAUAACAAACAAACAGAAGCAAAGUGUUUUUCGAAUGAGAAGAAGGAAGCAAGAAAAACUUAAAACUAGUAUAAUAAAUUUAUACUAAAACUAGUAUAGUAAAACAAGAAGUCAAGAACCAGCAACUUUUACACACAAAAUAAAACCUUAAAACUAGUAUAAUAAAUUUAUCAUCAAGUUGCAGCCUUCUUAUUCAACAAUUACAGCAUUAUCUUGAGCUCUGUGUUUCUUUUUUUAAAAAUUAUUCAAAAAAAUCUGCAUUUGUUUUUCAACGAUAAAAAUUAUAUUUUUGUCUCAUAUAAUAUAAAAUUAAAAAAAAAAACAAACAUAUAUUAAAGGUCUGUUUGGGAUUAUUUUUAGAGGCUCAAAAGUAAUUUUAAAAAGUUAAAUGCUAAUUUUGGUAUUUAAUAAAAUUUUUAGAAGUCACCUUUGGUAAAAUCAUCAAUCCUACAACAAAUUUUGAAAGCAAAUAGUUUUUCAAAUUUUUAUUUUGAUAAUUAAUUUUAUACUUAAUAUAAUUCCAUAUACAUCCCUACAUAUAUUAAUUAUCCUUAUUAAUUAGAAAAUAAAAUUAUUAACUUUAAAGAUAUUAUCAACAAUUACAUUGAGAUAACAAACUAAAAAUAAAAUUAAUAAUAUAAAAUAUUUAUUUUAGUAAUCAAUUAUUAUACUUACAAGAUAAAAAAUAUUUUAUUUAAAUGUUUAUAAAUGUACAAAUAAAUUUUAUUUAAUAUUAUAUUCAAUUUAGUCAUUUACAUUGUCAAUAGGACUUCUAAAAAUAAAUUUUCCUAAAUGUUUAACUAAUUCUCUUCAUAGUGAUUAUUUCCAAACAUAACUACCAAAAAUUACUAUAAUAGAUACAACAUUACCAAAAAAAUAUUGAGAUAGAUUUUAAUUAGGUAAUUGACUUAAUUAUGAAUCAAUUUAUUAUUUCCAUAUGUGUUAUCAAAACCAGCUCAAUAAUGAGAUCACUCUUUUUCUUAAAUAAAAAUAUUUGUGCCAAACAAUUGUUGCAAAAUUUCAAAUAUAAAUUACAAACAACAAAAUUUUCUAAAAUCAUAACAAUAAUUUAUGUUGUGAAUACAUGUAACUAAACCACAUUGAAAUUUUAUUGUUAGUAAAAUUGUUUUUCACGCAAAUGCAGUGACGGAUUCAGUUUCAUGUUUCACCCUCAAUAACUUAAUUUUCAUAUCUAACAAAUCAUCCAUAUUAUUAACAAUAUCAUCACCAAACAUAAUCUACCUAAACAUAAACUAAACAUAACACAUACAUAUAACUAUAUACAUACCGAAUCAGGAAAACAAUGAAAGCUACACGUAUCCGGCUCUACAAUUCCUUCUUGAUACCCUUGUGCUUCUGAAAUAAUCAACCAAUUAUAAAAAUUAGCUUAGGCGCAACUUUACCCCUUUUUUGGAAAACUUAACGAUAAAUAAAGUAUACAAAUCUCUAAAUUAACUUCGUCCCCAUGAAAUUCAGCAUAAAUAGAAAUAGAAUUAUAGAAACCUUACUACCUUUUAUGAGAAAUCCAACUUAUAUAUUUGAGACCUCUCUCUCUAAACACGCGCUUCCUCUCUCUGUACACUUUCCACCUUUGAAUUUUCCUUCACUAAGUCUACCUAAAUGAAUUUAGCAUUCUUCCAGUUUCUUUAGCAUUUUUUCUCCGUGAAAAUAGGUGAAAAAGAGAAAGUGGUUUGAUUAUUUUAAUGUAUGACAGAUCUGGUUUCCAUCUCUGUAAUUUAAGUUUGUCAAAACGAGAUAAUCAACUCUUUGUCGAGUCAGUCAAAUAUAAAAGACAAAUUACUAAACCAAGCAGAGCCCAAAAAAAAAUAUUUCCAAUUAAAUAAUCAUCAAGUCUUUUUCAAUUAAAUUAGGGAGUGCAGAACAACUGUCGAGAGAUAAUCAUUGUUUAUGGAGCCAUAUUAUAUUUUCGAUUAAAAUAGUUGCGCGUGAACAAUUGGCAGAAUUCGUAUAAAUUGUUGUCAGGUCUAUUAUAAUUAACAAGCGGAAUGGCCAAUGGAUGAAGAACCACUGUAAUUUCGUUUAUGAAUUCAAAAUGCUAAAGAAACUGGACAUCAACGCUAAAUGUCAGCCUGCGGCCCUUGCCUCAGUGUCUUUCAGGCGUUACUCUGGGUAGUUGAUAUACUGACCGUCCCUUUAUCAAUUAAUAAUCGAAAUAGGUUAAAAUAUGAAUGGAUUGGAAUGGUAUGACUUGGAAUUAAAAUAUGGAAUGACGAUUAGAUUAAUUAAUUUAUUUAAAUUGAGAAAUUAGAAUCAUAAUAAAUUAUAUUGUUAUUGAUGUAUUUGUUUUAUCUUAAAAUUGCGAUGAGUUGUUACAAAUUACUAAUAUGCCUUUGAUUUUGUAUUAUGAUAAUUAUUAUUUAUUAUAACAUUUGUCAUAUAAUAAUAAUAAUAAUAACAACAACAACAAUUAAUAUUGAAAAAUUUUUAUUGUUAAUAAUAAAUAGGCAAUUAUCCACCGAUCAUGUGAUCUUUUGGACGUUUUAAAAAAUAUACAAACACUUUUUUCUUUGCAGAAAUCCACCUGAAAUUUACAAAGUGUUUCAAUUGUUCACUGUCAUCUAAAUUUUGUUAGAAUUUUCUUGACGUUGUAAGGAUAAAAUUGUUAUUUUUACCUUGACUUCCAAAGAGGAUGUCUUUCAAACAUGAUGAAAAUAAAAAAAAGGAUAAAAAAUUAUCUGUAAACUAUCUGAUCUUUUAGCCAUUAUACAAAAUAUUAAAAAAAUAUACGAACAUUUUUUAUUUUUUUCAACAAUCCAUCUGAUAGUUAUGAAGUGCAUUAGUGCUCCACUACUAUCAUAACCCUUUAAAAAUAUCGCUUAAACACGAGAACCUAUUGCCUAAAAUUAUUUUUCAAGAAAAUGUAACUACAGAUUUGGUUUUGAUCUUCAUGACUUUUAAGUGUACAAGAACAAGAUGAACGAACCUUUGUCGAGUUGAUGAAUUAAGAUAAAUCAAUUACAAAUCGAGAACAAACUUACGGGUGACAUUUUAGUAUUAAGCAAACUAUAAUUGAUCAUCCAAUGAUAGGCUUAUUUUCAAUUAAAUUAGAGUAAAGAUAGACAUUCCAAAUUUUUUCUCUCAAAUUUAAUCCUAGAUAAUGUGUUAUUAAUUGAGUGCUUGGUAAUUCUUUCAAGAUCUAAGUGAAUUAAUUAUAUUAUCUCUCCAACCAAUUGAUGAAUAUUAUAUUAUUUGAGAUAAUUUUUUUUUAUCUCAAAUCCCAGCAAAGAAAACAGAACAAACGGAGCAAAAAUAUUUUUAGAAACCUAAAAUAACAAAAAAAAACUUUUUCUUGUUUUUCUUAUUUUCCACUGUUAAACUUCAAAAUGAACAACUUUAUUCUACCAUCUCUCAAAUAAUAAUAAUAACAACAAUGUCAUCAUCAUCAAUAAUAAUAAUAAUAUAUUAACUUUGUAGGAUGGAGCUCUCGCAAAUCUUCAAGACACAAAAUGUGCUUGACCCCAUUGUUGUUAUUAUAAUUUCAAAAUCAUCUGUAUUAUAUAAUAUUAGGGAAUAUGACAUAGCAAAAUUGAUGGUACAUAUGUUGCAAUAUACUUGUUCAUGUGGCGACACAUUGAAGUAAAGCACAAGCAAAACAACGAAAAAUGUAACGGGAGAGCUCUCAUUAUGUAGAUUUUCAAUAGAAGUAAUGCAAAUUUCACAAGGGCAAUGGCCUUAUUUCGAAUGCUGCACCUGAGGAAUGACUUGAAUCUUCUUUAGAACUCAAGCAUUCUGUAAUCAUAGGGUAUAACAUUUCAACAAAAAUAUUAUAUAGGUCGUUCCUUUAUAUAUUUUCUGGGUACACAUACAGAAAUAUUAUUUUAGGUACAUUUCUCACAAUAAAGCCUGCCCAAUCUAGCAUUUUCGUAAGUUGGGUUUCUUAUUUACAUGUUUUUUCCAUUGGUUAAUUAUCACAAACCUCCACUGAGAUUUAGCAUGUUUUUAGUUUGAUAGAUUGUAUUCGCGUAUUCUCAAAUACCUUUUAGUUUACCACUUCGUAUAAAUUAAGUUGGUGAGGAUAAAAUCAUAAAAGUACACAUUAAUGAUAAAAAAAUUCAAGUAAACUUGAAAUUUUCAAGGGGUAAUUUUUCGGGACCUCCCCUGAGGUUCGGUGUAUUAAAAGUCUCAUAGAAAGUAUUCAUGUAAUUAUAAGAACCUCCCCUGACGUUAGUACACAGUUAACUUGACUGUUAGUGGACUGAUAAAAAGUCAAAAAUGCCAUUGGCUACAAAAAUGAGUGCAACAAUUUGGAGUUAAAUAGUAAACACCACAUUGGAGCACUAAAAAGUCUAUAAUAAUCAUGGAAAAAAAUCAUUGACAUUUACAUAAUAUAAAAAAAAAAAGUAAAAUAUAAAUUAAGAAAAUCAACAAAAUUGUCAACGUAUAGAAUAUUUACAGCAGCAGUGGCUAUAAAUACAACCGUCGUCAAAUUAAAAUAUCACCAUUAGUAAACUACUUCAAUAAGACAAUAAACCAUGAUUCACUCUUCAAAGCAUUCAAAAUACACAACCCGCACAAUAGAAUCACAUACGCACACCUGCUAAUGAAAUAUAAGAACAAACAGGAAAUUGAACUGACAUGGCUAAGAUACUCCUUCCCCAUAGCUAUUAGAAAGAUAAUGAGCGAUUUAUGAAUCAUGAUGCUUGCUUUACUUUCUGGCAGUGUUAGCUUCAAAUUCAAUGAUAGUAAAUGAACAAUGGUUCAUUCAUUAUGAAAGUAAGUGUAAAGCUAGGAAUUUAUAAUAUUCAGAUGUUGGAAUUGGAAAAAUAUUCCUUAAUCGUUUCAAUUGAAGCCAAGGAAGAAAAGAAAUGAGUCUUCUUUUUUCAGGAGACAAGCCAUAUGAAGAAGGCAGACCAGAGCAUAAGAACGAAUGCUACUGCCACAGUAAAAGCCUGGAUCAAUGGGUAAUGGUACCUGCCAUGUCAAUUUCAAGACAAACAAAAAUCAAUUAUCAUCCCCAGACCACAACACCACCAAACCAACCUUUUGAAUCUAAAAUAACAAGUUAAUAAAUCAAAGAUUUCAAUUCAUUUAAGUUUGAAAUCAACUAAAAUAGAAAAAAAAAACCCAAUUUCUUUUUUGUUCAAUAUAACUCAUUCAGCAUCUUCUUCAACACAUUUUUAUCAUUCUUCAUCAUCACAACAAUAAAAAGAAAAAAAAAACAUUGAGUCCAACAUGCAAGUUUUUUUUUUGGGAAACUAACCGUUUUUAGGUUCCAAUUCUAGUAGUCUUAAACAGUAGCCGCCGACGAAAUUCGCUUGGCGACACCCUUUUGCCACCAUUGCAGCUUGUCAUGUUCAUACUCAGCUUAAAAUUACUUGAAGGCAGCAGGGAUUUUAUAGUUACAAAAGUUUCUUCAGAGCUUUUCAAGCUUGAAAAUGGCUGAGAGUUUCAUUUCAUGAGAGAGAAAAUGGAGUUUUCAUUCAUCUUAGAUAAAUUGAAGAUAAUUUGCAUUGUGGGUAAUAAAUUGAUUGUCAGUGCCUAAAUUUGGGUCAUCGACACAACUUUGGAAUUUUUUUUAUUUUUCUUUGAUUUUUAUUAUGAAACUACUAAUUUACCCUCAUAUACUAACAUAUAUGAAAUGGCAUACUAACGUCAGUUAUGUCAAGCAGCUCCCUGUAAUUACGUGAAUAUUUUUCAUGAGACUGUCAAUACACAAAAUCUCAGGGGAAAUCCCUAAACAUUACCUAAUUUUUAAGUUGUGUUCUGAAAUUGGUCUCAACUUUGUAAUGUGUAAUGCCCACAAAAAAAGAAAAGGAAAAAUGGUCAUCUCUUUCCUCCAUUCGAACUGAAGCCAUGAAACGCAAUAUCCCUUUCAUCUUCUCUCUAAUGCUUUGAUUAAAAAACUUGCUUACGAACGGGAGACCAUGACACUGAAUCCGAAGACAGAAAUACCUGAGAUGACUGAUUCACGCCGGCGAUGUGGAAGAAUACCGACCAGUGACUUUCGCCGUCGACCCACAAACAAUCCCAGUGUUUUCGAGCCGCGAAUGAGGUAUGAAUAAGAUUAUUUCCGUGCGUGUCAGUUUUGUAAGGAGAUUUGAUUAAAAAAAAGAAUAAUGGGUCUCGAAAAUUUUUUGAGUAUUUCUGUUGCUUAAAUUUUUUUCCAUCGAUUAAUGUUAGUUGUAGGUGAAUGAUUGUUGCAAACGCAUGUUCGCUUGUGAUUGAUUGAAAAUGACUUGUUAUUUGUUAUGCUGCCAUGUGACUCAUUGAAAAUGCCUCUGAAAUUUUUUUAUUUGUUUAAGGUACUGAUUCUGAUUAUUGAACAGGGAUUCAUGCUAGUUUUUAUUAAAUUAAAGAUGAGAUUAUUUUUUAAGAGAUCUACCAAACCUUCUCUACUAUAGAUUUGGCUUCUGACAUACCUGGUUCGCUGGAGAUAAUUGUUUAUAUAGUCAUUGCUGCUCGUAUUAAUCAGGAACAUUGAUUAGCAAUGUACUGGAAUAGAGAUUGGUAUAAUUUUGGAAAAUUAGUCGUAGAUGCAACCUGAUUAUGGUCUCAAAUAGUGUGAUCUGUCAAUUCCGUUUGCUCUAGCCUAACAACCUUGAAUCUGAGCUAUGCCACUAUACAAAGUCCUGACCUAAUCAAGCUUGUUAGCCAAUGUCCAAAAUUGCAGUGUCUUUAGAUAAGCCCUGUCUUACUUGUUUGAGUUAUAAAUGAAAAUUGAAGUGUCUUUGGAUAAUCACGCUGAAUGUUCAAGUUAUUGAAGAGAAGGGACCCCCAGAUUCAAGGCCGGAGCUCCCUGUUGAGAAGCUUUACAUAUAUGGGAUUGUCGCUGGGCGGAGGAUCGAUAUGCCCGGUUUUGUUUGGAAUAGGGAUGAAGAUUUUGCAUUGAGGCUUUCUUGAUAGAUCAUUCUGCAAAUCAAGCUCCAUGUACCUAUCUUCAGACUCUUGGAUAUGUAUAAAGCAGGUGCAUGCUCUAUAUGUUACUCAUUGUAUCACGAUUAUUUUUCUAUUGCUUAAAAUAAUUGCAGUCCUUGAUGUAGUUGGAGACAACUUAUGGAGGGUAUACAGAGGCUCGAGAGUUUGAUUGCCAUUCAUUUGACACUUGGCUGAGCUACAGCAUACCAACUAGUGAUUAAUAAAGAGAAGGUAUGAAGGUCCUGUUGCUGGUGGUAUUAUCAAUCAGAAUUGUUAUUUUACUUAGUCAUAGUUACCAUGUAUAAGAUUCGUAGACUUUUUGCAUGUUUAUGCAUUCGCAUCAUCUUUUUGUUAAGCUAGAGAUGGUUGAUUUGUGUACUCAUUUGUAUCACUUGUAGCCCUUGAGGAAUAAAAUUUAAAAUUUUGUUGCAUCUCCUGUACUAAAUACUAAUUUUGUUUGCUUUAUGUAUGGGAAAUGGUUCAUUAUCUUAUUUCUUUGAUGUGUAUAGUGUUACACUGUCUAAAGUUGAAAAGUAUUUCUAUCACUUGUGUAAAAAACAAACAAUUUUUUUUUCACUCUUCUUAUAUUGAAUAAAAGAAGGACACCAAGAUCUUCACCAAGAUUGAACGAAAUUUGAUGCAGAAAGCAUAGCAAUUAGGCCAGUGCAAAAUAGCUUCCUUCUGAUUCUCUGAUAUUUGACUUAAAUCUUUUGUUUGUUUCAUUCAUCAAAGUCAUUUUGGAAAGUAGCAGGCGUGAUUUGAUAUUUUCAUUGUAUUCACAUCCGUUGGCACCAAAACAAACAUGCUGGUACUAACCAACAAUUUUUUAUUUUUAGUGUACAAAUUAUUAUUUUUAAGACAAAUAAGCUGGUACUAACCAACAAUAUUUUAUUUUCAGUAUACAAAUUAUUAUUUUUUUUUCUAAAUUAGGGGUAUUAAGAAAAGGUAUGCUAGCACCAGGGGAGGUAUUUGAAAAUAUACAAAUACAAUCUAUCAAACUGAGAAUACACCGAACCGGCAGGUUUCUGAUAAAUCCUUUUUUUCUUUUUCCUCCAUUCACUAUAGGUUCAAUUUAGACGCUGUUGACCAAACAGAAGGUUUGGGUUGGUAAACGCACUGGUGUUAAUGCCAACAACCCAAGGGGCUUCAUGGUCCUCUGGGCCGAAAUAGCGUAAUUAUUAAUUCUCCUCCAGUGAAAAUCUUCAUCUUGGGACAAAUAAUUACGAAUUGACAUUAUAGCUGUGGAAAUUUGGAGGUGUAAUAACCGGAAAAGUAAAAAUCUUAAGAGACUUUUUAAAUAAAAAAGAUACAACACCUUCAAUUUGCUAAAAGUAAUGGUAUCAUUUCUUGUACGGAUAAUGGAUGAUUAGAUUUUGUUUUUUGUUAUCCGACGAAGGAUAUUCAGUUGUUCUUUAUGUGUUCACAGGCAAGAGCAUGAGCAUAUUCAUGGUUUCAUAUAUGCUUCUUGCAUUUUCUAAUUAAGUACUCUCUUUCCUUGCCUUCUUAGUUUUGAAAGAAAGAUGUGAAGCAAAGCAAACCCAGUGAAAUAUACAGAGAAACAGAACCAUCAGAGGAAAAACUAAAUAACAGAACCACAAUUGAACCAAACAAAAUCAAAUAAACCGAGGCAACGGAUACCCUGAAUCAGGCAUCCCUUUUUCUCGAAAGAAAAUAUGUUUGCAUGGGUGGGAACCUAAUAAUUACUCAAGAGUUGGAGUUGGAAAGAUUUGGUAUUCAUAUCUUCACAAUUCAUAAGCUUUAAUGCAGAAUCGACAGCUUUAUAUUAAUUUAUUCAACCAAAAACGAUAAAGUAGGAAAACCACAAUAAUCCACCAACUUUUGCUACUUUUAGGAAUAAUUUUUAGUCAACUUUCAAAAAGUGAGAUGACGAUCUUUGAGUUGAUAAAUCUUGGCCUGCUGCUUAGUACCCUUCCAACAUAUAAAGUACUAGAUGUUUAGCUGAGAAAAUGACGAGAUCAUUUAUCAAAUUUCUUGCGCAUAUAUACAUAUAUAUACAAGAAAUAAGAAUCAGAGUGAUUAUAAGACCUUGCAAUGAGGCAAUAAUACAUCAUCAAAUCUAAAAAUACACAAGAAAUUCGUGACGUAUAUAUAACAAUAGACCUCUCAUUGAGUCAUACAUAUUGAGAAUAAAAUGUCAAAAUGCAUACAAAGAGCUUAUACAGAAAAUGAAUUUACACACAUUUAGAAUAAACUGUCUUUGAACUUCCGAUGGUCAAACAAAGGAAACAGACAGGAAAUGACACACACUAUCAUAUAUGUAGCGACACGAUGAAGUAAAUCACAUGAAGAUGGAAACGGAACCCCUCACAACAUAAAAUUUGAAUAAAGGGGGAAAAAAAGGCUUCAUUUCAAAUGUUGCACAGAAGAAGAGUGACUUGAAUCUCCAUCAAUAUCCAAACAUUCUGCAAACAUAGUGCUGAGAAUUUUAACAAGAAUAACUGUAAUAUCCCAAAUCUCCUAAGGGUAUUUAAGUCUUUUUAAUUUUUAGUGAUCCUUUUUACCCUAGUAUAAAUAGAACAAGAUGUCUUUUUCAUUAUAAGAGAGAGAGAAAAAGAGAGAUCGGUUGAAAAAGAGAGAUGGAGAGACAAGAGAGAAAAGAAAAGAAAAAAAGAGAAGAAGAAAGUCUUCUUCUUCUUCUUAGUUUUUGCCAUAGACAACACAUGGGAUCAAGUUGUUAUUGUUGGGAGAAGUUUUGGAGGUACGUUUUAAUUAUUGGUUUCUAUUAAAUUGUUGUGGAGAAGCAUGAUUGUAAUAGAAGUAGAAAUCAAAGAUUUUACAUAAAUAUGCUGACAGCGAAUUAUUACAGAAAUCAUAGUAAUUUGUACAAAUUGAUUUUGAUUCUGAUUUUUGGGUAUGUUAAACUAGACAUCGUCUAGAAUGUUUUGAAACUUGUUUCAAGUUAAUCGGAUAAGAUUUCAAUUAAUUAUGAUUUUUCAAAUUCAAGUCUGAAAACCUGGAAAUUUAUGAUUUCAGUGAAUAACGUGAAUUACGAAAUUAUUUUUACCAUAGUUAGACUUCUUCAAAAAUUAUGAAAUUUGGACCAAUGCUUUUUAUAUAUGUCUAGUAUGAUUCUGGAAAUUUUCAUGAUUUUAUGAUAAAGCAAUAAAUUGUUUUGUAUUUGUAAAGCAAGUGUGUUCAAAACAGAAAACUGUUUGACAGUAUUGAUGAUGUCUGAAACGUGAAUUAUUUUCAAUAGUUUUUGAAGGAAUUAUGUUAUGAAUUAUGCUAAUCUUCUCUGUAUCGUUCCAAUUUUAUUGGAUGGGAAUUGCUCUGAUACCAUUUGAAACACCCCAGUCCGAAAUCCAAGGGCAAAUAUGUCCACAACUCACAUAUGAUUUAAAUAACUCUUUACAACUGAUAAAAUUCGAGCCUCAAAUACAAAAGCCAGCGGAAUAACUUAAAAACUUAACCAAACCAUCUACUAUCCUCAAUUCAAAACCAUCUUCUCACUCAUCACGAAUCAAUCCUGACUUCUGAAAAUUGAAUCACAAUAAACUAUAAUGAGUACAAAACCCAGUAAGCAAACUAGUUUUUCUUAUACGGAAAAUACAUACAGACUUAUACAUAAUGCAAUGGUUGAUAUGUCAUGAUCUUUUGGAAAUACUGUAAAAUAAAUUCAUAAAAAUCUCUUUCUGUCGCUUUCAAACUUUCUUAUUUUCUUUCGAUGAAAUACGUAUCCUACAAUGUGGCACUUUGUGCUGUACGUGGCACUUUGCGGCGCCCUGGCCCUCAAGAGGUGGCCCCCGCAUAGUCCCAAGAGGUGACCCCCACACAACUUCAAGAGGUGGCCCCCAAUGCAAAAUCUCAUAAAACAUAAAUUCUGUUUGCUAAAAUCCACUUUCUCAUUCGUAGAAAACUCAAUGCAUUUUCGUGCUCAUGCCAAUGAACCAUCACACAUACAUAUGCCCAUGUACAUAAUCACGCUCAACACAUGCCAACACAUCACAUAAACACAUGGGCAAAGACAUCUAAAUCCAUAUCCGUAUAUAUAUCAAAAUAUGCUUUUCACACAAGUCAAACAUAUAUAUUGUUUAGUGUGAUUCGUUUUAAAGUCUAGUUUACUUACCUCUUGGCAUCCUCAUGUAACAAAUGCGUACUGAUACCAUUAACCUAAAAUCAUCAAUAACGCCUCAUAAGAUAUAAUCAAAUCUCAAUCACAAACUGUAAUGUCCUCAAAUAUCUCAAUUUAAACAACUCCUAAGCUCAACCUCAAAUGUCCUCAAUAAUCGGCCCUCAAAACAUAAAUCCUUUACAAAUACUCUUUAUCAGUUGUAAAGAGUUAUUUAAAUUAUAUGUGAGUUGUAGACAUAUUUGCCCUUGGAUUUCAGACUGGGGUGUUUCAAAUGGUAUCAGACCGAUUCCCAUCCGAUAAAAUUGGAACGAUACAGAGAAGAUUAGCAUAAUUCGUAACAUAAUUCCUUCAAAAACUAUUGAAAAUAAUUCACGUUUCAGACAUCAUCAAUACUGUCAAACAGUUUUCUGUUUUGAACACACUUGCUUUACAAAUACAAAACAAUUUAUUGCUUUAUCAUAAAAUCAUGAAAAUUUCCAGAAUCAUACUAGACAUAUAUAAAAAGCAUUGGUCCAAAUUUCAUAAUUUUUGAAGAAGUCUAACUAUGGUAAAAAUAAUUUCGUAAUUCACGUUAUUCACUGAAAUCAUAAAUUUCCAGGUUUUCAGACUUGAAUUUGAAAAAUCAUAAUUAAUUGAAAUCUUAUCCGAUUAACUUGAAACAAGUUUCAAAACAUUCUAGACGAUGUCUAGUUUAACAUACCCAAAAAUCAGAAUCAAAAUCAAUUUGUACAAAUUACUAUGAUUUCUGUAAUAAUUCGCUGUCAGCAUAUUUAUGUAAAAUCUUUGAUUUCUACUUCUAUUACAAUCAUGCUUCUCCACAACAAUUUAAUAGAAACCAAUAAUUAAAACGUACCUCCAAAACUUCUCCCAACAAUAACAACUUGAUCCCAUGUGUUGUCUAUGGCAAAAACUAAGAAGAAGAAGAAGACUUUCUUCUUCUCUUUUUUUCUUUUCUUUUCUCUCUUGUCUCUCCAUCUCUCUUUUUCAACCGAUCUCUCUUUUUCUCUCUCUCUUAUAAUGAAAAAGACAUCUUGUUCUAUUUAUACUAGGGUAAAAAGGAUCACUAAAAAUUAAAAAGACUUAAAUACCCUUAGGAGAUUUGGGAUAUUACAAUAACAGACAAAAUAUUGUGCUUAUAUACUUUUCACAAAACUAGACCAAAUCAGUUCCCUUUUUGGUUUGUGAAAACUUGAUAUUUUUGAAAAUUCUAUCCAAUGCUUUCAAACAAUAUUUCCACAAUAUAGUUGUUCAUAGCUAACCUUUGAUGGUGUAAGGAUUUGUUGUAGGCAUAAUGGGCUAAUUAUAUAUAUAUAUAUAUAUAUUUUACCCGCUGAAUGAUAUUCAGCUUCUUAAUUAUGUGUUCAUAGGCAAGAGCAUUUUCUUAAGUACUUUCGUUGCCUUCCAAGUUUCCAAAGAACAAACAGAGCAGAAACAAAUAUAACGGAACAGCAAUGAUGACAAUAAAUGAUUGGCAAAGAAAGAAAGAAAAAAGUUCGCAUGAUUUCAAGGAAUUAUAAUAUCUGAAGACAUUCAACAUGCAAGUGUUGCCCCUUUUAAUGAAAUUUCAUCAUAAAAUGCUUGCAAGGAAUUAUAAAAUUUUAGAGAACAAGCGAAUUCUCAAACAAAAUACUCAAAUUAAAUUAAAUUAGACCAAAAGACAAUCAAUGACGCAAAAUCUUCCCAUAAAAGCCUGAACGAAUCAUGAAAAGUGCAUUCCAUAUUGACAGUAAACCAAGUGACCCAUUCUAAACAAUUGAGAUGAAAUUGUGAAACAACCCACGAGAUCAAAUAAAUAAAAUAAGAAUUAAUUACCAGCUGGGACUUUCUUCUUCAAAUUCGUAACUCCAAGUCAUAAGAAGCCUAUGAAAUUAGUCGUAAUCCACAGAGUAUGACGACGACCCCGCCAACAGCUGAAAAUAAAAUUCUUAUUCAUUAAUUUAAACUAACUUUAUAACAAAUAUCUUAUCGAUAUUUUAUUUAAAAAGAAAAAGCAAAUUUUGUAAAAUUUUUCCAUGGGAGAUAGAGAGUAACAUGUAUAUCCGUACCUUCUCAGCAUGUAAUUGUUGUAUGGUCCUGUUAAGAUCAUUAUUAGCCCAGCGCCGUUGAAAACCCGCUGUCUCUCCAUACCAGACAUUUACUCUAGGAGGCGUGCUUGAUUCUCCUGUAGUGAAAAUCUUCAAUUUGGGACAACCAAUCACCCACAACGCUUGCAAAGAUGGGAAUUUGAAGGUGUAAUUGGCAGAGGAAAAACUUGUGAGGCUAUCUAAAUCACUCAGUUCCAACGUCUUCAAUUUGCGGAAAACAAUCUCUUUACUGCUCUGCCCCCACAUAAUAAAGUAGCAUUAGAGUACUAGACAAGCUCACCACGUCUAAGCUAAGCGGAGAAUAGACUUCAUCAACAACGCUUUCGUGAAUAUGUGUUGCAUUACAACGCUCCAAUGUGAUCCUCAUCCAAUACCCAUUAUUUGUGAUCCUUAUUCCACUGCGUCAAUUACACUCCAGUCCAAUGCUGCCAUCAUUAUCGAACAGUCGAUAUCCAACACUUGCACGAAGAUUCCAAGAGGUUGCCUGGCUGCUGACUUUUAAAUGCUAAGCCUUAUUGUGUCCAUGAUACACCAAACAGAGCAGUCCCGGGUAAUUGCCAAAACUUAGAACUAAACAGUAGCUCAGGUCAGAAAAUCAAAUGGAGUGAUGAUAAGAAGCUGAGGCACACCAAUCGAUUGCCUAAGCCUAACAGCAGAUUGGAGGAAUAUGCAUGGACACAUGCGGCUCGACGUCCACGCCAUGCAACACGUGCAUGAGUAGUGUAAGGCACGUGAGAAUUGAUUUGCUAUUAAUUGGGAGCUGAAUAAUUGAUGAUUUGGAGCUGACCUUUUCAAAAGUUGUUGCUGAUUUGGAAAGGAUCUCACGCAUGAGUUGUUCUUUUCUUUGAUUUGAUAUUUAUUCCAAAAUAAUAAAAGUUGUUUAAAUCAAUAUUAACAACUCGAUCUUGUAAGCUUUGAUUAAGCCUAACUACACGCUACAAAGCAUAAUAAUUAGUUUUGCAUUACAACUAUAAAUAAGCUCCAUCAGUGAAUAAAAUCAUCAUCAGACUUUUAUCCAAACACUACUAGCAAUUGUGGUAGUUCUCACUCUAAGAAGAACAAAUUAUUCACUUGUUAUUUCUACUAAUUCUGACUGGGACCUAUCAAGAUGAAACCAUAAAAUUUGAUUUUAUUGUAUGGUUGAUUUCAUAUCUCUUGCAGUCAUUUCUUAAGAUAAUCAAAUUUUCUCUGGCAUCUUUUGCAACUGUAGAAAUAUCAAUUAUGAUCAAUCAAAACGAUUUCAAAACCUUUCAAUGAGACAUAUUUAUAAUACAAUAUUGUGAAAAUUACACCAAAAUUUUUAUUUAUUAUAUAUUAUUAUCCAACGAGUACACACAAAUGAAUUCGUACAAAUCUAAAAUACUUAGCAAUUUUCAAAUAGAAUUUACCAUGUACUACAAGAAAAUAUGGUAUAUGUGACCCCUAAUGUGAAUGGAAAAGCAGCCAUUACGUAUAUCACUAACUUUGUAACCCCGAUACCUUUUAUGUGACGGCCACACUGCGGUCGCAUAUGUUACUAACCACGUGACGGUAAAGAGCCGUUCGGUAUGCUACUAUUCGCUGGACUCCGUGUUACUAGCCACCAUCGUAUAAUUUAAUCUCCCUUCAUCUUUUGAGUUAAGCUUGUGAUUAUGAGUUUCUUCUGUUACUUAGCUUGUAAUUAUAGAUUUUGAUUUUUUUUUAAUUCGUAUUGUAGCCGUUAUUGUCAAUUUUUGUCCCGCCAGCAAUUUUUUUUUAUUCCUACAAGUUGAAGCCCCUGUGUUCUUGUUCCAUUGGUGAGUUUGCUCACUCAAAUUAAUUUUGUUCUGCGGAAUUUACAAAGUUCAAAUGGAUUCAUUUGAAUUACUAUUGAAUUUAGCUUUAAUUCCAACAUCCAUUCUAAUGUUUUGCUAUUAGAUUUAGUUUAAUUUUAUGUUUAAAGCAUCUACAAUGAAUAGCGGAGCUUGGGUUUUAGUUUCAUUUUCUGGAUAACUUGUUUUAGUUUAUCUUGUAUGCUCACCAAGUGCUUGUUAUAUUGUCUGAUAAGUUAUAUACAUUGCUGAUUCUAUAUUAAUAAUGUUACGUUCUAUUUUCAGAAAUUAUAAUACAAAAGGUUUUACAAUGGCGUGCAUCUACAAACUGAAUUGACUUGUAGAAUAAGAGCUUGGAGUAAAUGAAAGUUCAUAUUGUGUAAGAGCAUGUAGAUGUAAAGCAUCAUUACCAUAUCUACAAAGUGCUUUCAUUAUGUUCAGAUGCUCUUCUUGAACUUUGAAAGGUGCCUCGUUCAAGUCCUAGCUAUAACUACUAGCUUUGAUUAAUUAAGUUCCUAUAUUAGCUGAAACAGAUUUAUUUAAUUAAUUAAUUAUGUACUAAUUAUAUUGAAAGUAUAUGAUUUUUUUUUUAACAUGAAUGACUUCUAAAUGACUUAAAAACCUAAAGGAUGUGUGAAAUAAUGCUCAUUUCACUUGAAUGAGCCUAUUAAUACUUUUAUGUCUAUGAGAAAAAAAUUUAAUAGAAAACUUCAGAGAUGUUUCCAGAUAUUAUCUAGAAUCACAAGAAUCUUAUUCUCACUCUUCAAUCGUUCAUACAGCUUGCUAGCUCUUCUAUAUUCAGCUUCAUCGGACAACUCCAGACCUAACUUCUCUGCAAUUUCCCCUUGAAUCUUUUUUAUCUCUGGAGUUUAUGAAACCUCUGUAAAACCACCCGAUAAAACAGCUUCUUUUCCCUGGCUUGCCUAGCAAACUCCUUCACCAGUGUGGUCUUUCCAAUGCCGCCUAUGCCGUACACCCCAAUAAUGCUGACAUUCGCCUCCGUCAAUGCAUUUUUUAUAGUAACCAUUGCUAGACUUAAGCCAUAUCUCCUCCGGAAUGGUACGGUGGGAAACAGUAUCAAACUUCUUAACUUCUUCUCCAAGUUCAAUAAUGGCCUUCACCUCCGUCUCUGCUUUCUUGCUAAGCUGAUAGCGACUCUUCCAAUUAGGACUCAAGCCCUUGACACAGCGCUUAUUCGUUGACUCCUCAUCUUCAAUGAAUUUGGCUGCCCGGUCAAUGAUGCCGUUCGCACUUGGCAGUAACCAGCCACUUUUCAACCUUCUCUUCAAUCUCUUCCCCUUUUUCUUUCGCCUCUGAAACCCUGCGCUGAAUGCUCGUAUGUUAAACCUUCAACUUCUCCAUUUCCGCCUUGAUAUUCUCAAAGUUGGCAUUGUAGUUCCGCUUUCGCAAAUAAACAAGUUGGCGUGCAGUUGGAGGAGCCAAGCAUUUUACAAGUUCCAAGACGAUAGUCACAAUGAUUUCCAGCAUCUCGAAUCCUGACAAAAACGUAGAAGCGAAGAAGGCCAAAGGAAAGUAAAAACAAAGAGACAGCGAUAGGACAAGCAAUUGUGUUUUUCAGAUGAGAUGAAGGAAACAAGAAAAGGGUUUCUAUCACGACGUAAAGAGCUAAAAGAGCUGAUGGGUACAGAAUAAGAAAUGAGACUGAGGAGUGAGCAAAGCUAAAUAAUAACAGAACAAGAACAAUGACGAAUAGAAGAAACAGUAGCAAAGAGCCGUUUAGAUGAUUAGAAUGAAAUUAAGCGACUGGAAAGAGUGGAUGGUAGACUAAAGAGAAAGUGAUUGAUUAUUUUUGGAGGCCUAUUAACGUAAUGACAGACCCGGUUUCGAUGUUUGUAAUUUGAGUAUGAGGUAAAUCGAUUCUUUGUCGAGCCAGUCAAAUACAAAGGCAAAUUAGUAAAACAAGAGCCAGCAACUUUUACUCACACAUAAGCCAAUAAUAUAUUGAGAUCACGCAACAUUGCAAUAAAGUUAUCAUCAAGUUGUAGCCUUCUUAUUCAAUCAAUUAUAGCAUUUUCUCUAGCUCUGUAUUUUUCAAAAAAAAAAAAUUAUUCAAAAGAUGUCUGUCAUGAAUUUUUCAAUGAUUAAAAUUAUAAUUUUUGUUUAAUAUAUAUAACGUAAAAUUUUAAAAGAAUCAGACAUGCAUUAGGGUAAAAAUAAAAAAUAUGGAGGUAGCUUUUAACUAGGUAAUUGGCUCAACUAUGGAUUAGUGUGAGAUCGCUAUUUUUCUUAUAAAAAAAUAUUCCAGCCAAAACAAUUUUCGCAAAAUUUUAAUAUAAAUUAUAAAAAAAAAAAUUCUAAAAUCAUAGCAAUAAUUUAUAUUUUGAAUACCUGUAAAUAAACCACUUAGAAAGCUGUCGAAACACGAGAACCUAUUGCAGUAUUGCUAGUAAAAUCAUUUUUCAAGCAAAUGCAGUGACAGAUCUGGUUUUGAUCCUCGUGACUUUUGGGUGUAAGUACGGGUGAACGACUGUCUAGUCCAGAACAACUUGGGCGCGACAUUUUAGUAUUAAGCAAACGGAACUUUUUUUAAUUAAAUUAAUCUCAAAGUGAUAGGCUUCUCAUGAAUCAUGUAAUGUUGUCGUUUUUCAAGACAUGACAAUGCACAUCACUUGUUUGUCACAAUGUCCAAAUAAAUAAUUUUUUUUUUUAAAAAAAGUUAUUUUCAUUCUUUCUUUUCAAGUAUCCUAAUUCCUUUAGCAGUUUGAUUCCUCUUUUCCUGAAAUUUGUUCCUUCCAUUAAACUAAUAAUUUAUUUAAGGGUAAUUAAGCGUCAGCCCCCAAUUGUUUAGUAUUUCAUACAGCACACCCACAUCUUUCGACCAUGCGCACCUCUUCCCUAUUUCUGUCAAAAAAUCAACUAUCAACUAAUUGUAACUAUUUAGACUGUUAUAAAUUUAAAAGACUAUACUACCCUUGUUUUGAAUGAAUUGGGUAUAUAAGCACUAAAAUAUCCUUACAACUUGUAAAAUUUAUAUCAAAAAGCAAAAAUUUAUUAUAAUAUUUUUAAAAUUAUAUGGAGACGAUUUUUUUUUCUGGAUUACGAACCCAAGAUUAUAAACCUAGUAAAUUACAAAAUCAGAGGCAAAACAUGAUUCCAAUGUGAAAGAAGAAAAUCAAACACACAUUCAUCAAUACAUUACAAAAUAAGUCCAAUAAUCCCACCAAAACAAAUAAAACCCAAUAAGAAAGAAACCCGAAACUAAUGAUACCAAAAUCCCUGACAACAAAUUUCAUUGUAAAAUUCUAUUACAAAAUAAAUUCAUACUAAGAAAAUUCAAUAAAAAGAAACCCAAUAAUCAACAAUCCUAAAACUAAAGAUAUCAAACCCUAAAUUAAAUUAUAGAGGCGGCGAAGGAAAAAGGGUUUUUUUUAAUUAUAUAUAUUAUUUUAAUCUUGUAUUAAUUACCAUUCUACCCUUCUUUCUGUUAACGUUAGAUUUGAAAGAAAUGGGGGUGGUGGACAUGGUCAGAAGAUUGGGGGCACAAUGCAAAAUGUCGAAACAAUUGGGGCUAACGCUAAAUUACACAUUAUUUAAAUUAAAUUAUCCUAGUUGUAUUUGACUGUGACUGUGACCGGAACCGUUACAAUCACUUAGUAUUUUUAUUAAUUAAUUAACAAUUUGUUUCAUCAUUAGACGGUACUAUGAUAGUUUUGUCACUAUGUUUGUUACCAUCUCUUAAAUCGUGUAACAAAGAUUUCAUGAAAAAUUAGAAAACAGCACGACAUGAUACAAACUUUUUUUUAAUACAUGUAGACCUUAUUUUUUUAAAAUGAACAUACAAACUCUUUUUUAAUACAUGUAGACCUUUUUUUGUAUUUAAAAAUAGUUACACAGAUCCUGAAUUUGUGUGUCCCUCAAUAAAUUUUCAUGAUCAUUUUUUAAAAUAAGGGAUUUUUGUGAUUAUUUUGCCACGUCCAAGGAUGCCGCUAUUCUUGUCACCAAAAAUUAUUCUCAUUAAGAGUCAUGAUUAAUUGGACGUCAGCAAUGAGGGCAUGUAAUGAAAAAAUUUUGUUUUGCAUGGGAUCCAAUAAUUUUAAUUACCAUGGUGGUGACAGACCCAGCUGGAAAAUCAACUGAUUUUAGAAUUCUGUUGAAAAUUCUUUAAAUGAUCACUAUAUCUCUAGUUCGAUUAUAUCCUUAAGCUCAUUGAUUCUUUUGUAUUGAUUUUGUUACUUCUUUUCUAAGUACUUAUAUUUAAGCAUUGAAAUAGGAUUGAAUAGACAAAGACGAUAACUUGAGCUGAAAAUUUUUCAAGUAUGGCGGAGGGGAAAGUGAGAGAGCCGCUAUUGAAGAAGAAAUAUUAUAAGAACUGCUCAGGCUGUAAGGUUGAUAAGCUUAAAGAGUCGGAACGAGGCUUACCAAUUCGUAAGCUUUUAAUUAUUUAAAUGUUUUAUUUAAAUAUAACUAGCAAUUAUUUAAUUAAGGGUAAAAUAUGUAUAUAUUAUAUGCUCAUCAAAUACCCCCAAACUUAGAUUUUGCUAGUCCUCGAGCAAAACUAAAACUUAAAACAAAAAUAAAAAUAACAAAACAAAAAGUAAAUCCUAACUAAACCACUUUCGCAGGUAAUCACGAUUGCAUUUAGCAUAUGCAACAAGCCUUUAAACCCCUAGGCGGCCCUAGUGGACGAGUUAUAGUCUCGUGAGGGCUUCAGUGAUGAUACCCACAAACAUCAUUUUUAAAAAAUAAAAUAAAGAGAACAAAAAAUUUUUAAAUAAAACAUGAAAAUAGCCUCAAAGAUUGCAUAAAUUAUAUAACUCAAAGAAAAUUUCAAAUAUUGGCAAAGUUCUAACUUUAAUUCAAUAAUCAAUCCCAUCUCUCUUUCGAUUCUUGUAGUGUGUGUGUGAAAUCAAUUCAAUCAAAUCCAUUCGCAAAAUCUUCAAUAUCAACAGCCUUCGCCUCAAACAAAGAAAAGAGUAGGUCAAACUAAUCUUAUCAUCUUAAUCUCCAUUUUUUUUUUCACAUGCUUUUAUGUGCAUUUUCUUUUGAUUUUUUUUUUGUUCAGCACAUGCACUUGGUUUUUUUCUUCUUUUUUUCUCAACCAUAGUCAGGAGCUUUCACUCUACCCCUUAAGGUAACCUUCUUCUCAUGGUAGAUUAUCCUCUACAUACUGGUGGUACAUAGGCCUAAAUUACUCAAGGAUAGCUUCACUCUUAAGGGUUAUAGGUAGCUAUUUCUGACUUUAGCGCCCGUGUAUACUAUUUUGUAUUGUGGAGAUAAGAAUCAAGACAAACAGUCAUUUACUCUAUCUAAAAUUCUCAACUCAGGCUGCGUCAAUCUCAAAUUUCAAGUCAAAAUUAUGAAAGAAUUGAUAUUAGUGCUCAUGGUUUAAAGAAUCUCAAUCAAGAGGAACUAACACAAGAAUCAAGUAUAAACUAAGACAAUAUUCAACCCUUUCUAAGAACCAUAUUCAUUGUCAAUCAAAUUCUUAUCAUUGGCUUUUCACAUAAAAACAAAUAACAAUACAAUUUUUUUAACAAACAAAACACACACUAUUCCCACCCCCAAACUUAUUUGGAACAUUGCCUCAACGUGUCACAAACAAAAGAUAUGCAUGCAAACAAAUGAGAAAAAAAAAAUAGUAAAAUUAAAAUAAAAUAAAAUAAAAACAUAAAUAAUAAAAAAGAAAGUUGGAGAGAACACACCUGGAUGGGCUAGGAAAGCUUAAAAGAAAAUGCCAAAUGAAAGAAGACGUUAGAAGAAAUAUAAAUAAUAAAAUAAAAAAACAAAAUAAAAAAAAUCCUACUAACUAACAAAUUAAUGUAAACAACAAAUCAACCAGGAUCAAUAAGAAUUUGGUGAAAAUCAAAGCAAUUAUACAGAAAAUACCAGAAAGCAUAAUUGAUUAAACACUGGAGCAUUUUAUCCAUAAAAGGAUGAUGGUAAUGAAACUCCUCAAUAUCGCACUGCUUUGAUCUCUUAUGUUCCAAGAUUUCCUGAGAGUUAUCUGAAGUAGUAUAAAAAUCUAAUAAUUUAAGCACUUUAGAUCUUACCACCUUUUUCAUGUCAAAAUGUGACCUAUGUUGCACUGCUUUAGGACGUAGCUCCAAUUUGAAUGGUUCAAUUUUCUCUUCAGGAGGAAGUGGCUCAAUCUUUUCUGUCCACUUAAUUAGAUCUAUGAUAAGAGUCGAAUCAAGUAAAGCAUUAACUUCUUCAAUACCACUAUCAACAUCAACAGAGAAAUCAGAGUCAGUUGUGCAUGGUAUUAAUAGAUUGUCACAGUGGUUAGAAAUAAGUGAAUCAUCAAUUGAUGCUUCUAUCAUAUCUACUUCAACGACUUCAUCAUCUUCUUGCGCCUGCUUGGGAACAUUAAAAAUGUUUAAUUCCGUGGUCAUGUUACCAAAAGACAAUUGCAUGUUUCCAGUCCUGCAACUAAUAUGAGCAUCAGUUGUAGCUAAGAAAGGACGACCUAGAAUAACUGGGGUGUGUUUCUUACGAUCCUGUACAUGCUGAGUAUCAAUAACAAUAAAAUCAACAGGAUAAUAAAAUUUAUCAAUCUGUAUCAACACAUCCUCUAUAAUACCACGAGGUAUUUUCAUUGACCUAUCCGCAAGUUGCAAAAUAAUAGAAGUUGGGUUUAACUCACCUAAUCCAAGUUGCAUGUAAACAGAAUAAGGCAAGAGAUUAAUACUAGCACCCAAAUCCAAUAAUACUUUAUCAAAACAUUGGUUCCCUAUAACACAUGAGAUAGUAGGAGAACCAGGAUCCUUAAAUUUUGGUGGCAUUGUACAUUGAAGUAAAUUGCUAGUUUGUUCAGUUAAAAAUGCCUUUUUAGUAACAUGCAAAUUUAUAUUUUUAGUGCAUAAGUCUUUCAAAAACUUGGCAUAUGAAGGAACUUGCUUAAUAGUAUCGAGUAAAGGGAUGUUUAUACUUACCUGCUUGAAAAUUUCCAUAAUCUCACAUGUUGAAGUCCCUUUCUUUACCUUUGCUAACCUUUGAGGAAAAGGAGCCUUGGGAAUGUAAGCUGGCGGGCCACUCUCUUCUGGAUCAUUUGGUGAUGAGUCUUGUGAUGGAAUUGGAUCUGAAGAAGUAGGCUCAUAUGUCUUUCUUGUUUGAACCUCUACUUUGUUGUCAAACAAUUUUCCUCUUCUUAAGGUCAUAAUAGAUUUUGCUUCUUCAUGCUGAUGACUUGAACUCGAUCCAACUUCAUGCACUCCUUUGGGAUUGGGAAUUGGUUGACUUGGGAAUUUUCCUUUUUCUCUCUCAGCUACAAUAGUUGCUAAUUGACCCAAUUGAUGUUCAAGUUUUAGAAUAGCUUGAGUGUUUAACUGAAAAGCUUGUUGGGUUGACUGAAUGAAACUUUGAAAUGUAUCCUCUAAAGAAGGUUUUCUUUGUUGGGGUGCAACAAAUUGAGACAUAGGCUGUUGGGUAGGAGGAUAUACUUGGUUAGGAGGGACAAAUUGUUGAUUGGGCAAGCUAAAUUGUUGUCCUCCUUGGUUGGACAAAGGUUGAUUUUGUUUCCAAGAAAAAUUAGGGUGAUUCCUCCAAUUAGGAUUAUAUGUGGAUGAAUAUGGAUUAUUGGAGGUUUUCUCAUAUGAUUGUAAGGCAUGUACCUCAUUAGCUACACUAGGAUGAUGAUUCAUGGAUUGGUUCAGAGCUAAGGCAUCUACUUUCCUAGAAAGUGUAGCUAGAGUGGAUUUCACAUCAAAAUCAUCCUUAACUUUAUAUAACCCCUUUCUAGAAACUUGAGAUGAUUUUUCCCUUUGAUUUGAAAAAUUCCACUGUUGAGAAUUUUCAGAAAGUGAAUUAAAGAAAUCCCAUGCAGCCCCUUCAUGUAGGUUAAAAAAUCUCCCACCAUUCAUAGACUCUACCAUAUGACGAUUCGACAUGGUUAAACCGUUAUAAAAGCAUUGUAUAAGUCUCAAUUUCUCAAAACCAUGGUGGGGGCACUUAAGGAGUAAAUCAUUAAAUCUUUCUCAACACUCAUAAAAUUGCUCACCCUCUCUUUGAUAAAAAUCACUUAUUUCUCUCCUAAGGGCAUUUGUUUUAGACAUAGGGAAAAACUUGGUAAGGAACUUAUUACUCAAUUCAUCCCACGUAGUUAUAGACCAAGCAGGAAGCGAAUUCAACCAAGCUUUCGCUUUGUCUUUUAAUGAGAAAGGGAACAUACGAAGCCUAAUUGACUCAUCAUUAAAAUCUUGAAAACGGAAUGUAGAGCAUAUGUCAAGAAAUUCCUUAAUGUGCAAAUAUGGAUCCUCUCUCUCUAACCCAUGGAAAGAUGGUAAAAGUUGAAUGACUGAGGGCUUAAGUUCAAAGUGUGUUGCUGUAGUUUGUGGCAACACAAUACAAGAUGGUUGGUUGGUUGCAAGUGGUGAAAAGUAUUCUCUAAGGGUUUUCUCUGCUUGCACUGGUGGUAGUAUUGGCAAUAAUCUAUUUGGGUCAUCCAUGACUUGAGAAGAACUAGCUUGACUACUAUCAAUUUUCGACUCUCUUUUAACCAAACGAUUUGUUGAAUCACGUUCCCAAACACUCAUAAACUAACUAGACAAGGAAAUAAAAAAAAAAAAAUAGACCAAAAAAUGAGAAUAAACGAAAUUUAAAAAUAAAAGAAAUCAAACAACCAAACAAUGAAUUUAAAGACAAAUAAUUUUUUUUUGUGUUUUUUUUAAUUAAAAAAUAAAAGACAACCUAAAUUAUAACUAGUGGAAGAAUCAAAUCAACCUAGAUUAAACUGACUUUCUAGCACAAUCCUCGGCAACGGCGCCAAAAACUUGUUGUGAAAAUUUUAAUAUACUCGCAAGCGCACGAAUCUAGAAAUUGAAUAGUGGUAACGAGGUCGAUCCCACAGGGAUUGUUAUAAAUUGAAAAGUCUAAUUUAAAUCUAAAAUUAAUAUUAAUUCUAACCUAGUUGAGCAAAUUGAGUUUUAAGAGAAAUUAAACUAAUUAAACUAAGAAAACAAUUAAAGUAAAGGAGAAUUCAAUAGGAUAGAAAUUACCAAGGUUUCAGAAUCCACCACUAUUCAACUAGUAAUUAUCUAAAUAUUCGUUAAUCCCCAAUUUUAGAGUGACAACUCGAAAUCAAUCUGUCAUCUCAUGGAUAUAACAAUUAAGCCCAAAUAAUUAAAUCUAAUAUAGGUUCUUUUUCCGCUUAAUAGUAUGACAUCUAAGUAUCCCAUGUGAACAUAUUGAAUAACAAAGAGUCAAAGUUUUCCUAAACACUCUAUGUAAACAAUUUAAUGAAAGACAUAGAAUCAAAGAUAAUCAUGUAUGAACUUUAUAAAUCCAAGCAUAGAUUUAAUCGAAUAUUAAUCCUAACAAUCAAUAAUACAUGACAUAAUUGAUGAAAAGAUUUUAAUAACAUCAAAUUAAUCAUGUGAAAUAAAAACCAUAAUCAUUAAAGAAUAUAUAUGGGAAUUAAAUAAAUAAAAAGAUAAUUAUUUUAUUGAAUAGGGUUUCAUCCUUAACCUCAAUAUAAGAAAAUUAGCUGGACAUACUUGAAUUAAGAGUAACAAAAGAGAUAAAACCAGCCAUGAAAGUCGAACUACUGCAGAUUUUCUUCUCUUUGUCUCGUGUUUCCCUCCUCUGGCGGCUCUCCCCUUGCAAAAGCCAAAGUUCGGCUUUUAUAUUGUAACACCCUCCAAAAUCCUCAAAUCAAAAGGAUUUAAAACAAGCCAAGCACAACCGACUUUGAGCCCAUGCACGUGAAGCCCACUUGGAAUUUUCAUUCUUUUUGUAAUGCCAUGCAAUUGCUUCUCACGUGCAGGCCACUUUAGCUUUAAAUUUCUUCUUUGUUUGCACUAGCAUGGAGAAUUCAAUUUAUUGGCCUCGGCUUCUUCGGAUUGAAUUUCAUACAUAUUUACUUAACUGCUUCCACAAAUUGACUUGAUCUUCAAUGUUGUCCAGUUGUUAUUCUUUAUGCACUUUUCAUCCAUAAUCUCUAAUUAAUUCCCUAUUCAAUAAAACAAUUCAACUAAUUAAAAAUAACAAAUAAAUAUAACUAGCAAUUAUUUAAUUAAGGGUAAAAUAUGCAUAUAUUAUAUGCUCAUCAGCUUGCAACUAGUAAAUUUUUCAACUUCAACUCGAUAUAAUGAUUUUGGAGAGAACCAUUUACAAUGAUUUUCAAUUCUUUUGUGAUUUUUUUUUUCCGUUUUGCCGGUCGCAUCUUUCUUUCCCUUCCUUUAUUUUAUGGUGAGUGGAUUAUUAUUGCCUUCAGCGUUGUGGUUAUUAGUGAGAAAAUUUAUAUUUUCCCAUCAUGCUUGGUGAUUUUCUGAGAAAUAUAAGAAAAAGACAAGUUUUAUAUGUCAAAUAAUUCAUUGCUUUUUCACAGCAGUCAUUUAUGAUUUCUUUUCAGAUUAGGGAUUUUCACAUUGCAAAAAAGGAGGAAGAUAUUGGAUUCUAUGCUGGUUACGUGGGUGAGUUAUUCUAUGUUUUUUUUUAACGUAUUUAAUAAAUGACACACAGUAUGGAGUCCGUCUUGGGUACGAAUGUCCACACCUUAUAAAGUGCUGACUCACGCCUUUACAACUCUGGGAGGACAUUCUACCGAGACUUUACAUCACUGUAAACGCACUGUACAAGAGCUUUACAAUGCGGACCCGCGUCUUUACAACUUUAAAGGGCCAAGUCCAUGCUUUAAAAAGUACAUAUGUUCGCACCUGGAAACGAUUUACAUAUGUAUGUAUAUAUGUAUAUAUGUGUGUAUGUGUGUAUAUAUAUGUAUGUAUGUAUGUGUGUGUGUGUGUGUAUGUAUGUACGACCAAUAAAACAGUUCAAAUUCCUCAAGAAGUUAUCCUAACAAACAUCUUAAUACCUUGAUGAAAUUGAAGGGUCUUCAUACAUGCUUGGCAGAGCUCUAACAUCUGUUUUGUGGGGAAUGGUGGCUGACCACCGUGGUCGAAAGCCUGUAAUAAUAAUAGGAAGCAUCACAGUGUUAGUGACUUCUAUUUUCAUAUGAUCAAGCUUGAAAUUGAUGAUACUUCGGCAAUUUCUGGAUUUCUUGUCUGUCUUAAAAUGCUCACAGGGUUAUUUUUAACACUCUUUUUGGGCUUAGUGUGAAUUUCUGGAUGGCCAUAGCUACAAGGUUUCUCCUUGGGGCUUUGAAUGGUUUCCUUGGACCAAUAAAGGUAUUGAUUGGGGGUAUUUGUUGAUAAUUCCAAUUUAAUUCCUGCAAAUAAUUGUGCUCAAACUUCUCUUACACCACGAGGCAUAUGCAUGUGAAAUAUUGUGCGAUCAGCACCAAACUUAUUACGAAACUAAAAAUGUUACUUGUUUUCUGUACUUGCUUUCGCAUGCAUCACCCCCACAAAACUGCUUGACGAUUGUCCUCAUUUUGAACUUACUAUAGGUUUCAGUCUCCUUGUUUUUCAACUUACUCUGUACCCUUAAGGAUUAUUGGGCCAAUAAUCAUAACACGAAUUGCAGGGGGUAAAAUUUUGAGCACCUCAUGCGGCAUUUGGACCAUUUGAUAGUUUGUUUGAAACAUAUCUGUUUAUAAAAUACUUUUCUUCAUGGUUUUGGUCCCAUAACUUUCUAUGUAUGUACAGGUUUUAUCGAUACCGCUUUUGACAAGUUACACUUACAUAGCAAUGUUAUCGGGUUCAGCCUUGCCUUUUUGAUAAACUGUGCUUCUGUGAUGAAGAAUGUUUUAUCUGUAAGUGGAUAUCCUAAUCAUUGAUCCAUAUACUUAGGUUAUAUUAUCCACCAGCAAGUAUGUAUAAAUUAUUUUAUGUCUUAUUUAUUAGAAUUGUUGUAAUUCUUUUUUACUUUUCCUAAAUUGUAACAUCAGGUGUCUAUAAUAACUGGAUUGUUCCUUCUGCAAAACAGAGCAGUGGUAAAUAUAUUUUCUUUUGUUUGUUUAGUACAUUUCCAUGCUUUCAGCUUUUUCAAAUUUUGUAUGUGCCAAAGUUUAAAUUAAUUGGUUGGUUUAUGGUAUAAUAACAGGUACGAUAAUUUACUAAUGAAAUUUCUCACUAGUUUGUGAAUUACUUGGUGCUAAUCAGCUUAGUUAGCUGCUUAAACUAAAGUGCAGGUAACCAGGUGAUUUUUUUCAUCCUGAAUUCGGUGGAGGCACUUGGAGUAAUAUUGACAUUCAAACCGUUUCUAACUCAACGUGCCCCGUGAGUGGAGAAAAGAUGCGUCUGUUGAAAUAUUCAAAUAUAUGUCAAGCAAAUUAAAGCUUUCAAAAUCUUUCAACAAUUUGAUUGUUUGAUGUGGUUGCCACUUGCCAUAUUUUGUGUUACUUUUCUAAAGGCUUAAAUAUGAAAAUGGUUGUUGGUGCUCACGCCAAUUGAUUGCUGGUAACAUUAAUUGUGCAGUACUUGUCAGAACUACCACAAUUUAUCUUCACAAUGAUGCUAGCUAGAAAGAAAAUUUCAUGUUAAGUAAAAUAUUGAAGCCAUAAAGAGUCUUAUUCCAGAGCCUUAUUAAGUACUGAGUUUUCUGCCAUGCUUUCAAAGUUACAAAUUCGAAGCUUGGGAUUCUGUAACAAUGGAGGAUAAAAAUUAUAUAAGAAUAUUAUUUUGUACAAUUUUCAUACCCAGACAGAAGCGAGCAUUAUUUUUUGAUCAUAACUCAGAUCAAAAGACCUUCAAUGAUGUAUAAUAUGCACAAAAAGCUAGCUCAGAACCAGACAUUAGAACUUAUGAUGAAAGGGAAACAUAGAUGUUGAGAUUGAAAACAUAGAGAAAUUUUUUUAAAAAGUCUGAAAUUUUAUUACUAGAAGUUUGAAUAACAAAAUUAGGGUAUUGGACCCUUUUUAUACAAAUUCUAAAUAUUAUGUAUUUAUCAAAACAGGCAAACUUGAAAUAUUAUUACAUAAUAACGUUCUCCUAACUGAAAUAAGAAAAAUAAAAUAAAUCAUACUUGAAAUCUUAUAUUUAGAGAAAAACAUAUCGUACUAUGUCGAGAGAGAUGACGACUCCUCCAACAGCAGAAAAUAAAUUCUUUCAUUCAUUAAUUUAAAGUAAAUUUUGUAAAUUUAGGUACUUGCACAUUGAGAUUUGCAAUUUAAUUUGACAGGACUUUUCAUUGAAUAAUGAAAUUAAAAACUAACGAUUAAAGAAUUUUUUAUAAUUCUCUAAACUCUUGUGGAAAUGUCAGCUGUAAAUAGGACAAUUUCAAGAAUCUUUAUCUGAAAGCGUAAUUGGCAGAGCAGAAACUUGUGAGACUAUCUAAAUCACACAGACUCGAUGUCUUCAAUUUGCUGAAAACAAUCUCUUGUUUUGAAUUUAAAUUUGGUGCUCCAUCUUCUUCUCCGUCACCUAUUACCACCUCUGUCAUUGCCCUGCAUCCACCUACCUUCAUUGAUACGAGCCGCACUAGAGUUUCUGCUGUAGUGGACGGAUGUUACAAUUCCUUGCAAUGGAAAACCGACAGUUCUGUCAGAUUCCCAAAAGAUAUAGAUGAUCAUGGGAAUAGACUUAAAUGCUUGUAAAAUAGUCUUAGAAUGUCAAAAUAUUUAAAAUGGAGUCCAGUUUGGAGUUGCUUCAAUGAUUAAGUCUGGACAGGAUUAACCAUUUUAUCAGUGCCUACUUCCCCACUUGUUUCUACCAGUAUCCGGCUUGAUUUAAGAAUUUCUCUUUGUAUGAACUAUAACCCAGUAGGAGAUACUACCAAAAAAAACUUAUUUCAAAUGACGCACAGGAGAAGAGUUACCUGAAUCUUCAUCAGUAUCCAGACAUUCUACAAUCACAGAGUAAAGAGUUCUAACAGGAAAAACUGAGAAAACAACGUUCUUCUAUACUUCUCAUAAAACUAGACCAAAUUAGUCCCUUUCUUGGUAUCCAACAUUUUCAAACAAUAUUUCCACAAUAUAGUUUUUCAUAGCGAAGAGUUUUGCUUUGAUGGUCUAAGGAUUUGUUCUAGGCAUAAUGCUCUGAUUAGAUUUUGUUUAUUUUUAAUUUUUUAUCCGAUGAAUGAUUUUCAGCUGGUCUUAAUUAUGUGUUCAUAGGGAAGAGCAUUUGGAAAGAUCAUCAAAAAAAAAAAAAAAAAAGUUUCCAAACAAAGAUAGGUGUGAAGCAAACCAAACUAAAUGAACAAACUAAAAUAACAGAACAGCAAUGAUGUUUUCAAGGAAUUAUAAAAUAUGAAGACUUUUAAUGAAAUUUUAUCAUACAAAGUAUGCAAGGAAUUAUAAAAUUUUAGAAAACAAGGGGAACUCUCAAAAAAAGAAAAAAAAUACUCAAAUUAAACUAGACUAGAAGACAUUCAAUGAUGCAAAAUCUGUCCACAAAAGUCUGAACGAAUCAUUAAAAUUGCAUUCCAAAUUUAACAGUAAAGCCGAUUGACCCAUUCUAAAUAAUUCAGAUGAAAUUGCGAAACAAGCCACGAGAUCAAAUAAAUGAAAUAAAAAUUAAUUACCAGCUGAGGCUUUCUUCUAAAAAUUCACAACUCCCAAGUCAUAAGAAGCCUAUGAAAUUAGUACUGGGUAGAGAACGACGACGGCACCGCCAACAGCUGAAAAUAAAAUUCUUAUUCAUCAAUUUAAACUUUUACUUUAUAACAAAUAUCUUAUCUAUAUUUUAUUAAAAAAACAAAUUUUGUAAAAUGUUUCCAUGGGAGAUAGAGAGUACUGCGUAUAUCAGUACCUUCUCAGCAUGUAAUUGUUGUAUGGUUGUGUUUAGAUCAUUAUUAGCCCAACGCUGUUGAUUCGAUGUGUGUCCAUACUGGACGUUUACUCUCGGAGGCGUGAUUGAUUCUCCUGUAGUGAAAAUCUUCAUCUUGGGACAACCAAUCACUUCCAGAUAUUCCAAAGAUGGGAAUCUGAAGGUGUAAUUGGCAGAGCAGAAACUUGUGAGACUUUCUAAAUCACACAGAAUCAACGCCUUCAAUUUGCUGAAAACAAUCUCUUCUUUUUCAACUCCUUCUUUGUCAUUUAUUACCACCUCCGUCAUUGCUCUGCAUCCAUAUAUACUCACUUUGACGAGUUGCACUAGAGUUUUUGCUGUGGAGGAUGUUACCAAGUGUAUCAAUCCCUUGCAACCGAAAGCUACAAGUUUUGUUAGGUUCCGAAAAGAUACCGAUGAUGAUGGCAAUAGAAUUAACAGACUUUGACAAUGAUAUACUCCUAGAAUUUCAAGAUACUGAAAAAUGGGGCCAAGUUUGGAGUCUUGUUUGCACAGCUGCUUCAGAUGAUAGUGCCGGUGCAGCUCUAAUGUUUUUAUCAUUGCCAACUUCCCCACAUGUUUCUCUAAGCUUCCUUCCUCCGAAAAUACCUCUUCGUUGAAUGCCAAAAAAGACAGUACGAGUAUUUCGAGAUUGUGAAAUCUCUCCAGUACGUUCCAGAUUGGAAAACAAGCUGAGUCAUCUGCAGUAAUGUCUAGUUGUCUAAGAUUGCCAAAAAGGUGUUGUGGGAAAUCGGCCUGCAAAAUCAUCUUCACAUCUUUUCCACUUAGUGAUAGUUCCUUCAAGUUGGGUACGAUCUGAUCAUCAUCAAUCAUAAUAACUAAUGAGGUCAAUUGAUGUUCUUUCAAAUGAUUUUGAGUAAUCCAAUCACAAGCAGUGACUUUAUAGUAUUUAUUUUAUAUUAAUUUUACCCCUAAAAAAAAUGAAUUAUAUAAAAAAUGAAUUAGUGAUAAAAUUCAUUAUAUGAUUUUUUUAUAUGUUAGUUUUAGAGGUAAUAAAGAGAUUAGGGAAAAAAACGAAAUUAUUUUAUUGCACGAUAGUAAAUUACUAAUUUAUUUUGUAAGUUUUUCUAUAUGGAAAGACUAAGGAUUCUUUUAUAAAUGCUAUACCUAAAAAUGUUCAUAUAAUUAUUAAUUUACCACAUUGAUCCCUUAGUCUGUGGUCCCUUAGUCUAGACUAGCAAAGAUUAUUGUAUAACAAAAGUUUUCAAUUUAUUAAGUAUUAAUUUAACCAUGCUUUGCAUAUUUUUCAAAGUUAAAAAUAAGCUAUUGAAAAAAAAUCUAGAAAAUGGUUUCAUACCUUUUCCAACGGCAUUAGGGGCUGUUGUGCAGGAAUACCAAGUUGAUCAUUCACAUUAUUCUGCGAUAAAUCUGCAGCGAAUAUCUUUAAUUUGUCACAACGAUACACUAAAAGAAUUUCCAGUGCGGGCCAUUCCGAAGUAUGCAUUCCAGGGUACAAACAUCUAAGUUUUGGUAGAUCUUGGAGUUUCAGAGUGGUGAGCUGUGGAAAGACAAAAUAAGGGAUCACUUGAUCUGCUCUGUUUUCAGAAAUGAUCUCCUGUAAAUCCUCACAGAAGCGUAUAUCUAGGUGUUGGAGCUGCUUAAGGCUUCCGAUCAUAGAUGCUGAAAAUAUGUAUUUUAAUUUGUGACAAC
rnacentral:lncRNA from 1 species